CUUCGGGUCCGCAGGGAGGACCGAGGCGAUAUCGUAAAUUCAUGAAAACGGAUUUGAAGCAUCGUGGCACAUAACCGAAGACAUUUAAUUUUCGGAUCGUGAAUUGGAGGCCGUUCGGGUGGUCGCGUGAGAGAUCGGGCCAAACCGGGUGCCGGGUGCCGCGGGCGGCCGAUUGCAAGUGUCGACAAGCAAUCGGAAUGCGAAAUAAGGUGGGUUGUGUUUACCGAAGCGACUAGGUUGCCCUUUAUGUCUAAGAAAUGAGAUUUCAUAUUGAUGCAUAUUGACAUAAUAUAAGAAUGUGAAUAGAAUGCAUGUUAACAUACUAUAGAAAUGCUAAAUGUAAUGCAUAAUGAAUUAAGUGCUAAAAGAAUGCAUGAGAUGCUAAGUAUGGACUAUUUUGGAUAAUGACUAUAUGUAUGUUGACAAAUCAUGUGAUGCUAGUGGUAUAUGUGCAUGAUGAUAUAUUAUGAAUUUACAUAUUGUGGAUUAUGUUAAAUAGAAAAACAUACUUGAUGACAUAUUGCCAUGUUGUGGAACAUAGUGGACAAUCUAUAUAUAUAUUAGAUCGAGUGGCAUUAAACCUAGCAUCUUGAACCUAACAAACACUUGUGGUGAUUGAUCAUAUAUAUCCUGGUGUCAUUCAUGUAUGUUAGGACCCUAUUAUUGUGUAAAUGUGAGAGUUGGACUUGAACAUUAGUAAACAAGGGUGACAAUGACAAUAGAGACAUGAUUGUCAUCAAGAAAGUGAUUGUUAAACAUAGUUUAACCAAGAGUGGCAUUGGACCAUAUAUAGAGAGUGGCAUGAUUAAAUAGGUAGAAACCUAUUGUGACAUUGGCAUUGUGACUAGUGGCUAUGAAUCCUCAAGUUGAGGAUUGAUCGAUACUCACGAUAAGUCUUGGCUUGAGGGAGGUAGCUCCCCCUCGGGCGGUGCGCUCCGGAGUUGGUCACCACUAGGCGUGGUAAAGUCCCCCCAGAAGACGGUCCCUAGGGAGGUUCGAGUCCCCCGCUAUUAAGGGAUUUUGGGUUGUGAGUUAUUGGGGUUAACAUGGUUAACCGGUAAGAUUGGGUCAAAGCCAAGUGAAUGUACAGCAUUAUGUGUUACGGGUUUGGUAUCCCAGUUAAGAGGAUUUAGGGCUGAGGUGUAUGUGAGACGUCCAUCACCUUGAGCCUAGUUUUGGUGCGGUAUUCCGCAGUUGAUUGACUCGAGACCGAAUCGGGUGGUUAGCUUGGCUAGGGUAGAGGAAAACCUUAGGAGCAAAUAACCAAUGAUGUAAAGUGAUAAGAUGUAUAAAUUAUGAAAAAGCUAUGGAUAGCAUGAUACAAAGUAAAAUCAUUUAUUCUACUUGUAUAGUUGCAUGAUUCGCAUAUAGCAUGGCAUUAUUGCAUUCGUGAGGCAUAGCAUGGUUUUAUUAGUUGCAUAAUAAAGAUAUAUAUCUAUCUGUUUAUUGAACUAACUUGCAGUUGCCUCCCUUGGACCUAUUGGUCGAGCUUUUCCCUUGGGUGGCCGUACCCACUGGGAACCAUGGAGUUGGUUCUCACCCCACGUGGUUUUGGGGUGUUACAGGUUCGCACAUGAGCGGCGCGGCGGCGCGAGGCGAGGGCGUAGUUCCAUAGUUAGCGCCCUACCACCGAGACCAGAGAUAGCGGUACCCUGAGUCGGCCUUACUUAGGGAUGUAAGAAAAUGAAAAGGAUCAAGUUGUAAUAAUAUUGUUAAAGCUAGAUUGUAUUUGGAAGCUAAAAAGAAUGUAUUAUGUAAUUGUGAUGUAAAAUGAAUCUAAUGUGAAUGAAUGUAAUAAUAUAGGAUGUGUUUAUGUUGUUUGAUACCUUCCAUUAUGCAAUUUUGAUUGAAAUGUGUUCAUGGUUGGAACUUUGUACAUUGUAUUGAUUGCUAUGCCUUGAACGUACAGGGGAGACUUUGUCCGCAGUACAGGGGAAACUCUGUCCGUUCGGCGAUCUAUCGGCGGCGCCGCGACCCGGCCAAAUAUCCUACUCUUGGUUGAGGUACCAAGGGUCACCCACGCCGGUGGGUUCCUUUUUCGAGUUGGUUAUCCAGAUUCCUCCGUGAUGUUGUACAAUCAGGUUGUCUAUAUAUUUACUUAUUCCUUUUUGUACGAUACGGAGUGCUAUACGCUAUACUUUAAGUACGUUGAUACGUUCAUCUAAUGACUAAAAUGAGAGAUAAUAAAUGGUAAGAAAUCGUAAUCGGAAAGAAAUAAGAAUCGAUAAGAAUGAACAUCGGCAAGAAAUGAAAUAAUCGAACAGUGUAAUUCGAGUAACCGCUAAGAAAGGAUUCCAAUGGAAAUGGAAUCGGUAGAUACGGUGAGCGGAGCAAGAACUCAGUUAGGUGACGCCUAUUAGGCGCGAGACAGCCGAACUCCACUUCCUUGAGAGUGUACGUGGAGUCGGAUGGUGUUGGACGGCGUGAAAUACUGACUCGGUCGGCCGCCGCUUUAGCAGCGUGUAUGCGGUGCUGUUACCGAGUUCAGUUCGCCACCAUAUUAGGUGUUUGAUCGUAUUGUUAGGCCGCCGCUUUAGCAGCGUGUGCGGUGCAGUUACCAAUCGGGGCCUGCCGCUUUAGCAGCGUGUGCGGGUUGUGGUGAAACCCAUAAGGUAUUCGAGUCCCUAAGGCCUUAGGUAAAGGUGUAUUGAGCUCCCAACCAGAAUUGGGAUACCAUAGCUGGAUGAGUCCAGGUAAUAGGAGAGGUAAGAUCCAAGUAAACUGAGAUCCAAAUUGUGAAAAUAGUGUAUUGGAUCCAAUCAAAUUGAGAUCCAAAUAGAGUAUUGGAUAUAAGAAAUUGUGAUCCAAGUAUAAGUAAGAAUAGGUAGGAUCCAGGUACUGCGAUCCAAGUAUGAGUUGGAUACAAGUUAUUGUGGUGUGAACAAGUUAGAUACAAGAAAUUGUGAUCCAAAUGUACGGUGUGAACAAGUUGGAUACAAGAAAUUGUGAUUCAAAUGUACGGUGUGAACAAGUUGGAUAUAAGAAAUUGUGAUCCCCGCACAAACCAAGCGAAGAAAAAGUGAUACCUUAACCUUAUCCUUACCCACUUAAGCAAACACCCACAAACCAUGCGCCCUCAGAAUAAGGCUAAGACUAAGGGCUCACCUUACCUUUAGGGGGUUAGUGGGGAAAAAAGUUAGGCCGGAGGAUCCGGCCUAACCUUCAACUUACAUCAUAUGACUUAAAUACAUGUAACGCUUCAAGCUCAUUCCCCUUACUACAAACCUUGGAAGGGUGUACAAUAUUUCCCAAAUUUCUAUAAAUACUUAUUCAAAUUCUCAUUUGCCUUACACCCUUCACUCUUUCACGAAACGUUAGAGCUUUAAACCGGUAAGACGUAACCACAUGGCCAUGUCCGGAGUACGACAUGGCUAUGUCGUUCGUCGUCUCAAUCGACGACGCCCUGUCGUCCCGGUAAAACCAGAAAAAAUGAAGGACAAGAAUAGAGGUGACUGGCUCGAGCUGGAAACUUGAAUAGACUUCCUACGACUCCGAAUCUCCUUCCCAAACCAGAAGGAGGAUGAAAGAGAAAGAUUCCCAAAAAGAGAGAGAUUCUACUUUAUUCCGGAAAUCGAAUAAAGGAGAGAGAAAAACUACAGUCGAUUGGUUCCUCUGAACUACCUUGGACAAACGACUCUUUUCUCUAUAGACCCCAAUUCAAUAAAUGUUAAGAUUAGAUCCUUGUGGAUUCAACCUCGAAACCUUCCAUACAUAAACUGAAGAGAUAUCAAAUUUCAAAUCCAUCACUUAAAGCCGAACAACAUCGUCGGCCAAACCUCUCGUACCAAAUUGUCGACACCUCUAGUCUCAACACUACAAAGUAGUCAAUUCUUAGCCUCUUUUGACGACUUCCUUUCAAAUCUUUUCCAUUAAUUACCUAAUUAAUGAGAAAGUAAUGCUAAUAUGGUUCAAAUAACAACUUAUAAUCCGACUAAACCGCUAUCAAGCGUCGCUCGAACGCUGACUAGUAGCCUACCAAAGCGCUAUCUAUAAACUCUCAAAGAUUCUCAAUUUAGAACAUAAACUAGGACUCGAUUUGUCCCCAGGUUCGGCAUCGGAAUAUAUUCCACUCUUAAAACGACUUAUCUUCCAUGAACUACGACAAAAUCACGUCUAAAGAUGCGAGUAAGCGUCGUCCAAGUGACGUCCUUUAGCCUGUGAAACUUGUAAUUAGGCGUCGGGAGUUCUUUAAUCUACACCACGUGAGAUUGGACUAGAAUCACCCCAAGUUCAAAGCUAAUGUAUAAUCCAUAUAACCUUUGGAUUAAAUACUACAAAUAAAUCCUAUGAACUUCUUAUAACUUAACUCAAGAAACGACUAAAAUUAUACAAACAAUCCCGUUCACACCUGGUCGCUCCUGGGAGCUAUGCACUUGUUCAACGGCAAAUCAUUCACCCAAACUGAAGUGGUCUCGUUCACUUGGAGGGAUACAAGAUAUACUAUGAUAUCUUAAUGAAUGUACACGUUUAUGUACUUGUUCAUGAGUUAUAGCUCAUUACUUACGAUAUUUGUAUAACUAGAAGAACUUAACUUACCUUGGAGCUAAUUCAUUCUUCUUCUUAGUACUCUUUCCUUAAUAACACUCAGAGUUACGUACCUGUAAUAUACGAAACAAUGCGGAAAUACUUUAUCUCUUGUUCUCCAAUCUAUGUUACCAUAACUGUUCGAGUUCCGAUUACUGUAUAUACAUGUUAAUGUAACGAAAGUACAUGUGGAACUUAGAUCAUCAAUGAUCAUACAAUGAAAUACUGACUUAGGGCUGGAUUUCCCGCCCUCAACUUGGAAUGUACAAGUCUGUACGAUAAACUCUUGACAACCCAAUACUUAAUACGAACGAACGGUAACACGAGUAAGCGUGUUCGAACACUCCCAGCGAGGGAUGUUUGGCCGUGAGGCCUCAACCGGAUGCGCUGUCUACGAACGGGCACGCCCUAACUCACGGCUUCACCUAACGGCACCCCUCACAUAUGAUGGUGCCCCGGUAAUCCGCGCCGUGUUCGACCUGAUGGAACUCAUCCAGGGAUACUUAAUUUAGUUACAUUAUUUACUACUGUCGUCUCCUAAUAGUGACUCAUCAUAUGUCAAUGUAAAAGUGAACUGUAUAAACACGAGUAACACUAACGGAAUGAUCAAGACCAAUUACUUAUAUAGACUAUCGUACGAUAUGUAAGUAUCAAGAAAUAGUAACUAUUUAAUGGUACAAUAUUAACGAAAUGUAAAAAAUCGUUUAGUAAUACUCGGAUCACCACAUUAAGCAGCUCCGACCGCCGAAUGGGUGACCCUUGAUAACAAUUAUCAAGAGUGCGGGAAAAAUAACAAUAAAAAAAGGUCUCGGUGGAUGUCCUCUCCGAUCCCUAGCACCGUUCCCUCAACGCAGAUCGAUCUGUAACGAUCCUCGAACGAUCAACUAGUGGAACGAUGAGCCCGAUGCCGGCUCCCACUACAGGGUCACGUAUCUCUCUGAUGGUAACAUGUAUCCAAAACACAUGAGACACUACAUAUACUCAUAAACUUGGUCUACAAUAUCAAAAUCAUGAAAAACAACGUGAAUGUAAGAACUCAAUCAAUGAGAAACAAGAAGACAACUAACAUAAAACCUGAAUAUGCGACGAGACUAUAGUCCUAUCCUAAAAGAUACAAAGGAAAGGAAGCUGAACAAAGAACAUCUGCGGAAUAUAUGACGUCCACAUACCGCCCAGACACGUGCGUGACCUAUACGAAGACGACCAUGGGCGCGCACUGUCUAAUAUCACCAUAGUCUCGGAUCCCAACUCAGAAACACCUGGAUCACUUGGAAUCCGACCAACCUGAUAUUCUUAUCCGAGCACUCUCUGCUACAGAUCAAUUCAAAAAUCGCUUUCAUAAAACUAAGCCAUUAAAUAUUUGAGGCUUCCCACCCUCAAACUAACCUUACACGUUUAUGAUUGAAACGUCUCCCGGUGCAACCGCCGGCUGUUGCACUGUAGCCUUCAAUCAUAGACAAUAUAAAAUUAUGAAAGCGACCUAAACCCACUAAUUUUACUCAUCACACCAAACUUAUCUCAUCCAAAAUAAUUGAUACAAAUAAAAACAACGUCGUAUCCUACGGACACUGAGCAAGAUGCCGACGACCUCGUCGGCUCCGUCGACUGCGUCUCCUUCAACCCUGAAGGCGAUGGAGGCCUAGCUCACUCCAAGCCCUCAAUGUCCUAGUCGAACGCCACGACUGUCUGAAUCACUGGGUCGUCCGUCACUGUCCAAUUGUCGUCUACCUACGGCGUGCAGCUGUCCUCCUUUCUUACUUCUCCAAUCUCCUAAACGAUGACGCCGUCUACUGUCUAUCUCUCCAAGGUCUAAGAUGCGGUCGUCAUGGUCUAUCCCUAUGCUGACGAUCUCGUGUCAGUGAUCGUGGGCCAUGGAGUGUCCGUCGGGGCUCACAACUCGGAAAUGUCCUCUGUCAUCGUGGGGGUGGUCGUGGACACUGACACUGUCCCUGUCAUAAUGGACUCUACCAUCCGCGGCUCCUCGCUCUUGUCUACUACCUUGCAGAUUUACUUAAAGCAGCAACGUUAGGAGUACAAAAACUACCUCUUUUUCGACUAGUGACCCACCACCUUUUUACCGAUGACGUAUACCUUUUCAAUAAGAUACUAUGGAAACACCUCCUCGCUAUAGCUCAAACCAAACGCUGUGUGGUGAACCUACCACUCCGAAUGUCCACCAUCCACCUAUAAGUACUCCUAGGGGCAUGACUAAACAGAUACUAGUGAACCUUCUCCAAAUUCCUCAACAACAACUGUUGGAUAAAAGAUGUCUCACACUUCUCUGUCUACCUCUCCCUAGACGCAUCGGACUCCGUCCCCCUGUCUUGUCAUCGACUCAUGCUCGCUCUCAAAAGAGCUAACGAUGUAACACAUGGGAAGCACCAAUCUCUACUACUUCUAUUCCGGGCAUAGAAACUCCAUCCGAACGCUGGACGCUUAAAAUCCAACCAAGUCCGUAGCUUGGACAGCUGAAUGGCCCUGCACCACUUGGCUCGUAACUAACAUCUCUUCCCCCGUCUCUAACAUUUUCUUUCCCUUCAACACCUAGCUUCGUUUCCCUUCUCCGGUCCCUGACUCUCGUCACCUGUCGUUAGAAAAUCCUCUGGCGGUUUCAUGGGCUCUCCGGUCGGUUCAGUCAGCUCCCCCGUUCCGAGAAAAUGUUGAGCGUCUCGUGGUCUCGCAGCAGCUGGCGGCGCAACACACUAGACGUCACCAGGGGUAAAAGGUGGCGUCACAGGAGUUACACCACCGUCCACAAAGUAAACACCGGUCCUCCCGAUAAAAGCUAGGCUCACGGGCUCUCGAGGAAGUGGUCGUGGUAGAAGUCGCAGCCGUGGACGUAGAAAACGAGGCUCAGUCCCCUGAGGUAGGCGUGUCAUAGUCAGAUCCGCUGGGGGGCCUGUCGCCGUCAGUCUCUCAAGUGUCGUCCCAAGCUCACCCGCCUACAUACGGUGGGUCUGACUCCUCCGGCGUCGCCGUGUCCUCCAGCAUCGUCCAUAAUAAAACUAAGUACUAUAAGCUCAAGCACGUAAUAAACUAUGACCACGUAGUGUAAGGAAAUAACUAGCCGACAAACGGCUCAACGUAUCGUAUGUCAAUCAUGGAUGAAACAUAGGCCCUGCUCACUAGCACGGGCUGGUAUGGGACUUACAGGCAAACGCGAGUUUAAACUGUCAGUCUGAGCCAAAAUGAAUUAUUCAUGUUUUUUUAAAAUUAGAAAGUCAAAGCUAGUGUAAACCAGUGGCUUUCGAGAUGGCUUGACAUUAGAGAUCGUCUAUUGUCAGCCUAAAAUAAAAGGUGGAAGGCCCACAGUCUUACUAUACUUUGAAAUUUAGAUCGGAGUAUUUUUAUCAGGACUAUAUAAGAGCUCAAAAGUAUUAAAAGACUGUGACACGUAAAAGACGAUUUUAUAGUCGAGGCAAAGAGUGUCUUUUAAGAUUUAGAAGACAAAAGCAAGGCUGAAGUCGUGCUCAGCAAGGGCUGAAUAUAAAAUGAAGAGAUUUAGGUUAUUUUUAUCAUAGAGUGUGAUAAAAAUAAAUAAAAAAUGAAAAUAUAGUUUUAGACUAUGCAAUGUUCGGGUUUCACAUGGCCAUGUGAAAGAGCACAGUGGCCAUUGUGCUGACGCGUCUCUGUUUUGGGCUUUCGACGAAGAGCCAAAGCAUCGUAAACAUGGCCAUGUGAAAGUUACGACAUGGCCAUGUGAAACGACAUGGCCAACGUUGAGUUACCAACAUGGCCAUGUGAAACGGGUCUGAAUCAAAAACCGAGGCAAAGCUAAGAUAAAGUGCGGUUUGUUGCGAUUUUGGAAAGGUUGAGGAAGAUUUGAAUGAAAAUUAGAAAGGUUGGAACAAGCUUAUAAUUUAUCUUGAGCAGAUUGGUAAAGUAAGCGUGCGAAAUCAGUUAAACUGAUUUCAGGUUAUAAAAGGUGGCUUCAAAGUCAUACAAUGUAUAUAUAAGAUCGAAUUAUCAGAAAACUAAUACUACGACAGCAUGUUUUACUGUUAGGUGGAGUUACACAAAACACGCAAGUACUUUUUGUAGUAAGACUCGAUAAACUUACCGUGAACCGAUAGUAUCAUCUCACCUCAUCCUCUUCUAUACACGUGGGGGUAUAGUCGUUCUUCGGUAGCUUCGGUUUGCUAAAGUCUUCAACACACACGGUUACGAGCUAUAAGUCGGAGUCAUGAACUUGCUCGGUGUUAUCAAACGAAAAACGAAAAGGUUCUCUAAUUGCUCAAGGGUUCCUUAUCUGUUUUAGGUCAUCACCUUACAGAUAGCUAACCCAGAGGCCGGGUUAGACGUAGUCUUUUACGUGCUUAAUAACCUCAUUUCCUCCUACUAUCCUCUUCUGGCACUACAUUGCAUAAGAACUACAUAGCUUCUUAUGUAUCUUGUCGUCGUUUUACUGUUCUCGCACCGCGUCGGUAUUUAACUGAUUGUUCUACUUGUCGUAUUGAUUAUAGUCCAGACCAUUAACAUUCUAUCAACUCCGACGGUUGAUUAACGGACAUUUCUCAACCUAGUCCUUCAUUACACGGCAGCCACCCAGCUUCAAAUUCUAACUCGAGCUAUCCUCAUAGUAAUCAGAAUAACAGUCAUUCUGGUCACACCCGUUCAUACAGUUUCCGUAUAAAGUGAACUCUCUCUUUAUUCGGUAAUCUAGAUAUUAGAUGAAGUUAAGGGUUCUUCAUCGCGUCUUCAGGUUCUAGAAAGUAGAGUUUAACUUAUAUCUCUAUAACAAACUACAACAGUUAAGGAAGAUUCAGUAGGGGACAUUAUUAGUAUAGUAGUUGUAUAUCGUCUUAUUAUUGAGCUGGUGCACUUCUACUAACUUGUUUGUAACGGCUCAGUACAACCGAAACCUUCUUCGGAACGACUUCUUAUCAUCUUGCUUUAAAGAGUUUGGUUCGUGUGCCGCGAACAAAUUCGGGUAUAUUUCGGAAUGCUUCGGCCGUAUGUAUUGCUCCGCCUGCUCUAUUUGGCCCUCCUCCACAGUAUAUUUAAAGAAGCACUUCUAGCGGUACGUUUUUUCGUAAAAAUUGUAGAUUAACUACUUCAAAGGUUGUAACUUAUCUACGGUGCCGGUCAUUACAUGCGUGACACCAGUAAGCUCGUUGCCCUCGUUUACAGAGGAGCAUCAGUUAGGGUAUAAGAACUCUUUUCGGAAACCGGUGGUCAAAGAAGUGCUAUAACUAUCAUUUCAAAUCGUAGUGAACAGGUAAAUCCGAGGUAAUCUCGAUUAACCAGGGUGUCUUAUCUAUAAACUCUUACUUUUAGACUAUGUCUAAUCGGAAAAACAACAAAGUCACACGCUUAUAGGUAAAGAUUAAAUAUGAAAGCACGUUUUAACCAAACUAACAUUGCCCAUCUUUCUUUUAGGGUGUGAAGAAAUCGUCAUAGUUUAAAUGAUUUAACGUAUGACUAUCAGUCUGAUUGUCACAGUGCGGGACGCUGGUGGGCGGNCACUCCCGGCGCCACCACUUCCAACCCAAGCCUUUGCAUCUCCUUUUGCAAUAGCGGUUGAGGCGUAAUUGCCAUCGCUAAGUUUUCCGCCGAUUUUCUACUUAGAGCAUCGGCCACGACAUUGGUUUUUUUGGGGUGGUAUAGUAUAGUGGUAUCGUAGUCCUUCAACAACUCCAACCACCGCCACUGUCGCAUGUUCAAUUCCUUCUGUGUGAACAAGUACUUAAGACUCUUGUGAUCUGUAUAGACUUCACAAUGCUCACCAUACAAGUAAUGCCUCCAAAGCUUUAGGGCGAAAAUCAUCGCGGCUAACUCGAGGUCGUGAAUCAGGUAGUUCUUCUCAUAACUCUUUAAUUGGCGCGAUGCAUAUGCAAUGACCCACCCAUUCUGCAUUAGUACACACCCGAGACCCACAUAAGAGGCAUCACUAUACACUACAAAGUUCUCCCCCGGGGUCGGCAAGCCAAGCACCUGGGUCGACGUCAACCUGUUCUUCAACUCUUCGAAGCUUCGAUCGCAAUCGUCGCUCCAAACAUACUUUACUCCUUUAUGGGUAAGGCGCGUUAGCGGAGUGGUUAUUUUGGCGAACCCCUCCACGAACCGCCGGUAAUAGCCCGCAAGUCCGAGAAAACUACGGACCUCCGCUACAUUCGUCGGGCGAGGCCAAUCCUUUAUUGCCUCUACUUUCUUCGGGUCUACCGACACUCCGUCGCCCAAUACCACAUGACCCAAGAAUGUGACCUCCUUUAGCCAAAAGUCACACUUCUUCAACUUUGUAUAGAGCUUCUCCUGCCUGAGUAUCUGCAACACUACUCUAAGAUGCUCUUCGUGCCCCUCUUCACUCUUUGAGUAAGCCAAUACGUCGUCUAUAAACACCACGACGCACCGGUCCAACAACGGCCUGAAGACUCGGUUCAUCAAGUCCAUAAAUGCUGUCGGGGCGUUAGUAAGCCCAGACGGCAUUACCGUGAACUCAUAAUGACCAUACCGCAUACGGUACGAGGUUUUGUGCACAUCCUUCGGCCUAAUCUUUAGUUGAUGAUACCCCGACUGGAGAUCAAUCUUCGAAUACACCUUGGACCCUUGCAACUGAUCGAAUAAAUCGUCAAUCCUUGGCAACGGGUACUUGUUCUUAAUCGUUACUUUGUUCAACUCGCGAUAUUCUACGCAGAGUCGAAGUGUGCCAUCCUUUUUCUUCACAAAUAGCACCGGAGCUCCCUACGGUGACACGCUCGGCCUUACAAAGCCUCUAUCGAGCAAGUCUUGUAGCUAUCCCUUUAGCUCCUUUAACUCCACCGGUGCCAUUCUAUACAGAACCUUCGAAACUGGUUCCGCCCCGGGAAUCAAGUCUAUAACAAACUCGACCUCCCUGUCCGGUGGCAAUCCCGGUAACUCCGCCAGAAAUACAUCCGGGUACUCGCACACUACUCGAAUAUCCCCCAACUCUGGGUACUCUUUUUGAGCAUCUACCAUGGUUGCCAAAUAGGCCUUACACCCUCCUUUGAUCAUCUUCUUCACCCUUACAGACGAUAUGGUUGCCGCGAAGUGCCUACUUUUGCAUGCUUGGUACACCAACUCUUCUUGAUCAGGCUCACGAAAAGUGAUCACCUUGCUUUCACAAUCUAUAACCGCAUAGUAUUUGGAGAGCCAGUUGGUCCUCAAGAUGACAUCGAAUCCCCACAUCCGAUUUAGCACUAGCAGAUCUAUCGGCAUAAUCCAAUCGCCUAUUUGCACUGGACACGCCAAACACUCAUUAUGGACACUGAAUGAAUAUUUUGGGGUGUUCACCGACCAGUAGUCUUCGUUAUAUGCCAUUUCUAUGCCAUGAAUGAGAUGCGCCUGUAUCAAAUACUGCUCUAGUUCUAGUGCCUUUAAUCACAAUUAUACCUCCCACGACAUCGUCGGGUACUGCAGGCUGCUGCUCCUCCACCUGAGCGGCAAAAACCUGUCCGCUAGGUGCCCUCGAUCCCUCCGGCUGUCGCGGUGAUGACGCACUCCCAGCCGAUAUCGCUGGUGGUAACCCCGAAAGCUGUCUCGGGGUCGACGGUGAUGAUGCCGCCGCCGGUGUAGACGACGUCCAGCUCGGGCACUCCCGGAUAAGAUGUCCCGGUUGGCCACACUUGAAACAUUUGUCGUCUCGCUGCGGGCAAGUUGACACUCGGUGCUCUCCGCCACAAAUGACGCACCGAGGUGGUCUCCAGUUGCUUGACUACUGUCGGGGAUACCGAGAGGGUUUCUUAGCAUUUGGCCUGCCCCCGGCACCCCCCGCCGUUCGCUUCUUGCCUUUGUCCUUUGACUCGGCGAUAGCCUCCCAUUUCUCUCGAACGUGGGCGCUACUGUGCUCUACCCAUAAGGCUCUAUCAAAGAGCUCCGCAAAGGUCGUCAGCUUCAAGAUCUGCACCUUCUCAUAUAUCCUCGGCUGGAGUGCUCGUAAUAACCAAUCAGCCCGAUCCCAAUCAUCUCGAACAACAUCGGGAACGCAGUCGAUAAUGUGGGAGAAUUCCUACUCAUACUCCCCCACCGAUCGAUCACCCUAUCUCAACUUGCGAAACUUCUCUUGUAGUCUCCGCUUUACCGUAUCGGGGAAGUAGUUUGCAAAGACUGCUCUCUUGAACUCCUCCCAUAGCAUAAGCGAAAGAUCGGUAGGUCGAUCCCGCUUGACUCGCUUCUACCACACCAUCGCCGCCUUCUCAAGACAAUGGGUGGCAAGGUACACUUUGUCUUUCUCCAAGGUAUUGAGAUCCUCGAAGAGCGUCUCUAUCGAGUCGAUCCACGACUCCACGACCGCCGGCUCUACAAAUCCGCCUUCGAAGGUAGGUGGGUCGAACUUCUUAAACUGUAUGAGAGCCGCAAACGUGCGCUCCCGCUACGCCUCUACCGCCGCACUAUCUAGAUUUGAGGUUCCCGAUCCGGCCAGUACUACCGUAACUAGCACAGCCGCCGCUGCCGCCGCUCCCUCGUCCACACUCGGCACUACCACAGGGGGCGCGAUGUCACGCUCCGGGACCGACGGAGGCCCUCCCGGUAGCGCGCACAGACCCGCCAUAUGUCUACACAUAUAAGGCGUCUGCACAAAAGCGGAAGAGUAAAGCAAGAGAAAAUCUACAAGUAGGGAUAUCUGAGCAAGUAUAUAGCUAGGUUCUAAUAUCAGGUAGAGUCAAAAGAAAACAUUACUACUAAAGCAUGAAGUAAACUAAUACAUCAUAGAUCUCCAAAUACAUAAGUAGGGUGGUGUCUAUAACCAGGUACAAAACUCUCAUAACCUCUCCCAAGAGAAAACAAAAGAGAGGUGGACCACCUAUUGCCAAAUCCCUCGAUAGCUAGCCUGAGGCGAUUCCUUUCCCGCGAUCCCGAGUCUCUCCCGAAGCGAAAGGCUCUGAAAGAAGACAUAAAACAUGGGGCGUGAGAACUAUAAAUUAUAGUUCCCGGUGGGCAAUUACUGACCUGUAUCAAAUUGCACUACUAGGCCCAAAACAUAAACAGAUAUAGAUAAGGAAAUGUAACUGCGGAAAAGAAAGCAUAUAGAGAAGGCUAUACUACUAAGCCACAAGUAUUCUGAAUGUCAAUAUAGAGUACAUCUACUCUACUGAUCCAAUAUGCCAAAACUUAAAUAAUAUGUUAUGAUGCAACAAGUAAUGCUAUGAAGUAUGCUAUAUGUCCCAAAGUCCACUACAUAUCUAGUAUGUACUAUUGAAGCAACCAAAAAUACUACAAUGUAAUAAGCGAUACUGUCAAGUAUACUAUAUGCCCAAAUGUCCAACCCUAUGCCAUAGCAUAUUAAGAGUCCAACUACUAUAACCCAGCUAGUAGUGAUUGUCAACUUGUUGUUUAAUAUUCUUGUUCAAUCUCAUUCAGGAUCUACACAGGUGUAGUCCGGCUUGUGCCGCCUAAGUGCCAGUGGUAGCUCCAGCAUUCCCACUUGAGGAAUGAGUCUAACCCUCCAGGCCCCGUAGGCUACUCGAUACCGCACGAGCGAGCAUAAGUCGCGUAGGCUAACUCCGGAGUGCCGGCUUGUGGGGAGCGACCCUCACAAGCAUGUGCGAAUGAGCACAAAUGGCAAGCAAGCAUGGUCAAUACCUCAAUAGUCCAGUCAUCAUGUCUCCAACAUGGUAAUGCAACUCAAUAGUCAUCAUGUCUCUAACAUGGAAAUGCAACUCAACAGUCAUCAUGUCUCUAGCAUGGAAAUGCACACUAGCAACCCCAAGUGUCUAGUCUAUGCCUCAAGUGAGGAUUUACUAAGUUCACUAAGUCCAACGCCUCUUUAUGGCAUUAUCUCACUAUGUCCAAAACCAAUCCAAGCCUAAUGCCGCUUUAUGACAUUAGCUUGCUAAAUCCAUCUCUAGUCUAAAUCUAAUGCCAUUUUAUGACAUUAGUUUAAUAUUUACAUACACUUUAACCUUGGUCACUUAAUGACACUAUGUCCAACCAUGGCAAAUAUGUAUUCUAAGUUCAAGAGCGUAAUCUACAUGUCAUAUCCACUUCAUGCAACGUGAUCUCAACAAGAGCAAGAAUGCUAACCAUAUGCAAGGGUCCAAUCCUGACCAGCUCUCUACUACACAGAGGCCCAAUGUACUUUAUACAAGGUAUGCACAUAUUAAGCAUUCUAAAAUUCCCAAAAUAUUCUAUUUAGUAAGAAUAUGCAUGCAUUUUCACUUUACGAUAAAUCAAAACCAUCAUAUGAGAAUUCUAACUCAUUUUGGUGAGGCCAAACCCACUGAAAAACGGAACCCUUCAUUUCGCCGAACGGAGGUGUCCACAAUUCUCCUAGCAUCCUAAAGAUGUAGGAACAAGGGUUAGACCGACCAUACGAACAUCCAAAAGCUCAAAUAUAAGCAAACUCAAGAUAAGGGCAAAACUCAUCUAAGUGAAACAAACCCUUCCCAAGCUCCAAACGGGAGCUAGAUCCCUUCCAAUCGAACCUAGAUGAAGGUUCUAAUCCGAUCAAUUGAGCUCCAAAAGUCCUAGAUCAAAAAUCCCCAAAUCAAACCCUAAAUCCUCAUUUCUAGAGUUUCAAUACAAAAAUCAUGAAAAUCAUGAUCAAAAGAGAAAUAGUAAGCAACUAACCUCUCAUGAAGCCCCAAAUAAGGAUCAAAACCUACUAGAGUUGGAGAUCUCUCCUCCAACAAGGUCAACUCCAAGCUCCCAAGCUUCUCCCAUGGUGGAAAAGUCACCGAAAGGCAAAAAGAGAGCAAAAGAGGGAAUUAAACCUCAAAAAUCCCAAGCAAAAACAAAGAAAAUCAAAGAGGGAGAAAAGAGAGCUCCCUUUCCUUCCUCCCCACUGGUUCCAAGCUAAAGGAAUAUCAAGGGUCGUGGGGUGUAUUUGUAAUGAUGCUACAAUAGCAAAAACACCCUCCAAACCCGAGCAGAUUGCAUUCUGCACUGCGUACCGGUACACGGGCCCGCGUACCGGUACACCUUCCACGAAAAGGCCAAACCCGAGCCUCGGGUUUGCUCAAAACUGCCUGUGUACCGGUACACGGGCCCGCGCACCGGUACAACCAUCAGCCCGUACCGGUACAGCCAUCAACCCUGUACCGGUACACGGCCUGAAAAAGCCACCCGAGAGUUGACCAAAAAUUCGACUUUUUGGAUUUUAGUGCAUAGCUUUAAACCUCAAUUCUCAGGAUACGAGCCAUAGGUUGGAACACUGUCAACGACCCACCAGAAAGUCUGGAAAAGCUCAGAACACAGAUUAGACACUCGAACCUUGCAAUUUGCAAAAGUCCAGUGUGUUACACGCGACAUGGUCGACACCCGCCUGGGCCGCCGCUUGCUGACGCUCUAAGGCCUCCUGGAGCCGCUGAAUCUGCUCCCCUUGGCUUCGCACAGACUCUGCUUGCUGCUGCACAACUCCAAUAAGCGCAGCCACUUGAUCCCUAAGCUUUCCGUCGCCACUCGCUCCGGAUCGCUCGGGCUCCGCACUCGGCUCCUCAGGCAUCGACCUUGUCUGUGGUCGUCAACGAGGUGCCAUCGCUUCCUGAAAAGAAGCAACUCGCAUUAGCUACAUAACCAACAUUACUCAUCAACACCCAAUUCGGCGAAAGCAACAUACACAUUUAUCCUUGCCUCAAGCGUCAUGUCGUCGGCCGCCCGACACAACACUAGAAGUAGAGGAUAAACGAAAAUUAAACUUAGCCUCUAAUCACAUUAGAGACGUCCCAACUUAAUCCAAUCACAUGCUUUCGCUAACUUUGAUCCCACGUCACUCACGUUUCCUAGAUCCUUAAGGUCUUCCAAUCCUAAGGGUCUCUAGGUCUAUUCCUAUUCUUUCACACUAGGCUCAGAUACCACAAUAUCUGUCACGCCUCGGGACCGAUACCAAUUUGGGCCGGCCCGAGCACGUCAAACAGAUGCCGAACGGACAGAGUUUUCCCUAUCCGCCCAAGGCUCAUCACCUGUACAUUUUCAAGUAGAGAAAAGCACUAGCGGAAACAUACACAAACGGCUUACACGAGAGUAAGCAAUAGCCAUGAGUGAAAGAAAGGAACUAAACAUCUACACAAGUACUAUUACAUUCAUAUUUACGAUUCUUUACAUUGCUUGUAUCAUUUCUUUUACAUCACAUUUGCCCAAAAUAAACAUUACAUUCUUUUUCUUUUACAUCUCAAUUCAUCAAAUACAAAAGAUGAAGUAAGGGAAUGCUACUACAAAAUGUAAACCCAACUCUCGUGGCCUUUGACUAAGGUGCGAUACCUUUACCGCGGUCGCUUGUCGGCUCGCUCGGUCCCGGCUCUGUGAAAUAGUGGGGUGAGAACUACAACAAAGUUUCCAGUGGGUUCGGCCCCAAUCUCACCGACUUUCCCACUAGGUCUAACUCAGGCAUAAUAGAAAGAAUAAGCAGAUAAGUAGCGAACUAUACAAAUGCAGCUAAUAUGCCUGAACAAUGCUAUCAAUAAGAUGCUCAAUAUAAAUUCAUGAAGAAUGCAUGGUCGAUGUUCUUUGUUCUUUGUUCUUUGUUCAAUCUCAAGGCUAACCCAGGGGUAUCGCCUCAUUAACUCACAACUCAAAUCUAUGAUCGCGGGCCCUCAGCUUCCUCCCGCUAGGACCGUCCUCUGAGUAACUCAACUCAGUGAUGACAAACUCUGGAGCGCGUCGCCCGAGGGGGAGCGACCACCCUCGAGCAAGGACUUAUAGCGAGUAUGAUCAAUUCUUAACUCUAAGCAUAUUCAGUUCAAUCUGUUUCUUAACUCUAAGAAAUUAUGCACAAAUGACCCUUAGCUCUAAGGUUGAAUGUCAUCAUGUCAAUCUCAUGUUCUUUGCAUUCUUUAUCUUUGACAAUGUCAAUACACUAACUCUAGUGUUCUUUACAUGCUUUACUAUCAUUCAUGUCAUACAUUAACUCUAAUGUUCUUUGAUGCCAAACUUUGAUGCUAACUCUAGCCAUUGUUCUUUAUGUCACACUUUUGAUGCUAACUCUAGCAUUUAACGUUCUUUAUGACUCACUUAUUCACUUGAUGCCACACUUUUCCCUUUGAUGUCAUACACUAACUCUAGUGUUUUAUACAACUUUAGGCUAUCUUUAGCUUUCAUUCUCAACAUUUCAUUGUAUUCAUGUCAUAUGUCACUUGUUCUUUAACUUUAUCAAGUUCUCAUCAUCAUACAUGCACAUAUAGGGUUAUUACAUUCUUAUUGGUUCUCAACCAUCUAAUGAUGCACUUGAACUCACAAAAUGCAAACAUUCACAUGUUUAUAAUCUCAUUACCCUACUAUGCAUGCAAUAAUAUACUCAUGGAUGCUCAAUAAGUGACACAUUAGACAUAAAGCGAAUUCCAACAAAUUUGGAUAGCACCACCCAUCUCGUAGGCGUACUAGGAUGCUACGGUGAUUUUCUCAGAAUUUUUAGCCUCUUAGUUUGGUACCUGCGGCAAAACGAAGCCCUAUUAGGCUAUUUUGCUCAUAACUUUACAUUAGCUUUUCGUAACGUUAAUCCGAGCACACCAACGCGUCGGAAAUACCCCCAAUUAGGUUUCUAAAGGGUCAAUUUCACUUUGGAACCCUCACAAGCAAAAGCCCCAAUUUGGGUGCCCUAGCUCAACCUAUAUCAAAACCUAGGGUUUGAUCUCAUUAGGAAGCAAAAGAAGCUUCAAUCUACUCUAGAGACUCUAUUAAAACCAUCCUUAGCUCAAUCCAAACCCUAGUUUGGAUUCUCCCAUGAGAGGGGUGAAGCUCACAUCUAAGCUUCAUCACAUAUACCCAAACCAUGAUUUUGAUCUCUUAAAGAAGCAAAAGAAAGAUUCAAAUACAUAAAAGGUUCUAUUAAAACCAUUUCUAGAUCACUUAGUUCACAUUCUAGGGUUUUACCAUGAAUGGGAUCAAAGCUUACCUCAAAGCUUUCCUUUCUUUGUGCUAGAGGUGAAGGAGAGGGAGUUGCUUCACUCCUUCUUCUUCUCCACCUUCCAUCUCCUUUUCUUCUUCCUCUUUUCCUUUCUUUCCCUUUCUUUCUUCUUCUCCUUCUUGUUUUCUAGAGAGAGAAAGAGAGGAGAGAGUGUGUGAGAGUGAGAGAAUAAGAGGAAACACAUCAUAACCCCCUCAACAUAACCCAAUUGUUACAUAAUUGCAAAUAAACCCCUCAGCUUUUAUCUUAUUAAACUGCUUGAACUGGGCAGUUUUCGUGCUCGGGGACCGGUCUCCCCGACUUGGGACAGGUCCCAGAGAGCUCUCCCCGCGGGCAACCAAGGCCCCCGCGCAGUGCAACCGGUCUCUCCCAGGGGGACCGGUCUCUCGGGGACCGGCCUCUCCCCGCAGGGACCGGUUCCCGAGAGCUGGUUUUCUGGGACUUAGCUGAUUUUUCAGCUUUCUCAAUUUCCACGCGUUCGGGGACCGGUCUCUCCCACCAGGGACAGGUCCCCGAGAGCACAAAACCUGCAGAAUGCAGAUUUUUGAUUCUUUAGCUCUCGAAAACCUCCCACAAUGCAUUUUUGAUCAUUUUAACACCUUCGGACUUUUCAAAGUGUACCAACCUCGCACUUUGGUCAAUUUGACUAAAGUUCGAUAUUUAUUUUUCAAAUUCUCGCUAUAUUACACCAAUCUUGCCGGUUAACCUUGUUAACCCCAAUAACUCACAACUCAAAAUUCCUUAAUAACGGGGGACUCGAACCACCCUAGGGACUGUCCUCUGGGGGAACUUUACCACGCCCAGUGGUGACCAACUCCGGAGCGCACCGCCCGAGGGGGAACUACCUCCCUCAAGCCAAGACUUAUCGUGAGUAUCGAUCUAAUUCCCACAUAGGAAUGUAUAGCCACUUGUCACAAUGCCACUUUACCAAUGAUAGGUCUCUACCGUAUCAUGCUUGCCAUUCUCUAGGCUACUCUUGCCACAAUGCCACUAAUGGUUAAACUUUGUUUAACAACCAAUGUCUUAAUACCAAUUGUCACGCCCCGAGCCCGCCUAUUUGGUCGGUUUCGGGCACGCCAACAGACUGUCGAACGGACAGGGUUUUUCCUGUACCGCGGACAGAGUCUCCCCUGUACAUUCAAGGCGUCGCAAUCAAUACAAUGUACGAAGUUCCAACCAGGAACACAUUUCAAACAAAGAUUGCAUAAGGAAGUAUCAAAAACAUAAAUCUACUUGCUAUUACAAGCAUUCAUCUCACAUAUUACAUUUUUGCAUUCUUAGAUUACAUCACAUUUGAUUAUUUGAUUCUUACUUCCAAAUACAAUCAAAUUAUUACAAAUUUACUACAAGUUUGAUACAUCUUGUUCUUUCAUUUUCCAUAUCCCUAAGUAGCCGACUCAGGGUGCUGCUAUCUGGUCUCAGUGGUAGGGCGCUAACUACGAAGCUACGCCCUUGCCUCACACCGCCGCGCCGCUCACGUGUGAACCUGUAACACCCCAAAACAACAUGGGGUGAGAACCAACUCCAUGGUUCCCAGUGGGUACGGCCACCCAAGGGAAGAGCUCGACCAUCAGGUCCAAAGGAGGCAAACAACAUGUUAGUCCAAUAGAUUGAUAUGAAAUCAUAAAUCGUGCAACUAACAUUACCAUGCUUUUGCCUCACAACAUGCAAUAUGCAAAUCAUGCAACUCAUAUAGGUAGAUUAAUUGAUUCUACUCUUUAUUCUUAUCCAUUCUUUACCUUUAGCCAUUCUUUACGGUACUAGCUAUUCUUUAACAUUUGCCUUUCUUUAUUCUUUAUUACUUGUCAUUCUUUAGCAUUAGCCUUUCCUUAUUCUUUAUUCUUUAUUCUUUAUUCUUUACGCUUUACUAAGGGUACUCACACCUCAGUAAUAUUAUAUGCAUUAGCCUUUCUUUCCUAAGGUUACUUUACCUUAGCCAACUAUGCCAUCCGACUCGGUCUUGAGUGAAUCAACUGUGGAUAGUCCGCGCUCUGUCCGGCUCGAGGUGAAGGAACUCUCACAUGCACCUCAGCCUUCAAUCACAAACCACAUCGCCCAGCUGGUCGUCCAGAGCUGUGUACACCCGUGGUCAGGGAUCUCCCGGUGGGAGAGGAACAUGCCGCAUACACCCGCAGCCGAGAUCCCCGAUAGGGAGAGGAACAUGCCACAUGCAUCCUAGCGCUCAUUAUUCUUGCUCAUUGACAGGCCUUGAAGUUCUUCCGGUGGGAGAGGAAUGUGCCACAUGCACCCGCGGCCAAAGAACUAUCGAGCUUGUAUGCUGCACUAGCAGCCGCUGCACUAGCAGCAGGGAUUUCGGAAUCCACUUUACAUUACUCAAGGGUUGGUCUCACCCUACGUUAUCGACCUAUCUAGGUCCAAGCCUUUACUCAACCUAUGUUUAUACAUUAGGUUCAAUGUCAUUAUUUUCAUAGCCUAGGUUCAUUAAUACUAGGUCCAACAUUCUUUAUCACCUAGGUUCAUUCGACUCUAGGUUUCAUGUCACUACAUUCACAACCUAGGUUUACUUGACUAUAGGUUCCAUAUCAUUACGUUCACAACCUAGGUUUACUGACUCUAGGUUCAAAGCCACUCAUGUUUUUGUUUUCCUAGUUGUCCACACCUAGGAAUUAUACUUAACAUGCCACUCGUGAUUAACCUAUGUUCAAUGACACUAGGUUCAAUGCCACUCGUCAUCCUAGUUAUUUAUACUUAGGAUUCUUUACAUAUGACACUUGUCAAGUUCUCUACUUUACUUAGUGUUCAUUGACUCAAGUUCAACCUUCAUAUCAUUCUAACAUAUUCUUACAUUAUAAAAUCAUGCAUUUAUACAUCAUCUCGCUCAUAUGUUUAUUUAACAUACAUCUCAUACAUGCCUUUAACAUUUAACUCAUGCUUCAUCUAGCAUUUCUAUAAUAUGUCUACACGCAUUCUUUAGCAUACAUCUCAUAUGAUUCGUUACUUGGCACAUAUUACAUGCAUUACUUAACAUCUAUCACAUGCAUUCAUUUCUUAGCAUCUUUAUCAUGCAUUCUUACUUAGCAAUUCUUAUCAUGCAUUCAUUUCUAAAACAUGCAUCUAGUUCAUGUUACAUGGCAUUUUACUCAUGCAUUUAUCUAGCAUAUGUCUUACAUACUCCUUUAGCGUUUAGCUCUUGCAUUCGUUAGCAUACUUCACAUACCUUUACUUAGCAUCUAGCUCAUGUCAUUAUAUGCAUUUAUUAGCAUCAUUAUGGUACAUUUUUACUUAGCAUUCUUAUUAUGCCUUCUUACUUAACAUUCUUAUCAUGCAUCAAUAGUGAAACAUACUACACUUUGGCAUGAAGGCGACCUAGUCGCUUCGGUAAACACAACCCACCUUUUAACGCGUUCCGAUUGCUUGUCGUCACUUGCAAUCGGCCUCCCGUGGCACCCGUGACCCGGUUUGGCCCGAACUCUUGCGCGACCACCCGAACAGCCACCAAUUCGCGAUCCGUCUGUUCGGGAGUUUAUUCCUCGACACCACGAUGCUCCCGAUCUAUUUUCAUGAUUUUUGGAGGCUUAUCCCGCGUGCUGCGGCUAUCUGUACCAAAACAGACAGUUUCGUCAAUAACUUCGCGUACACUCGUCGGAUUGUUGAACCGAGUGCACCACUGCGUUUGUUAUACCCCCAAUUAGGUUUGUAUAGGGUCAAUUGAGAUCAAACUCAACUAUUUACAAAAAUCCCUUUUUUUGGAGCCUUAGAUGCUACUCUAGCAAAAUCCUCCAUUUCAUCUCAUGAAUCAAGCAUAAACCAUCUAUUUAGCAUGCUAAGAUUCCAUCUAAAUCAUCUUUAGAGUGUAAGAACUUAACCCUAAAGAUCUACCAUUAAAGCUUCAAGAAGCUUACCUCUUUAGGUUUGCUCCUAGGUGAAGAAGAAGAUGAUGGAGGGAAGCUCUCCACUUGCUUCACCUUCUUUUCCCUUUCUUCUUCUUCUUCUUCUUCUUCUUCUUCUUCUCCUUUCCUUUCUAGAGAGAGAGAGGGAGAGUUUUGGAAGUAUACGGUGAGGGAGAGGGAGAGAGAGAGGUUCUAAUCCUCUCUAUACACUUAACCCAUGCACAAAAUGACAAUAAGCCUCUCAACAAUGCAUCUCUUGCAACAGCCCGAACUGGACAUUUUCGAGCUUCGGGGAUCGGUCCUUGCGAUGAGGGACCAGUCCCUGAGAGACCGGUCCUUGGCUGAGAGACCGGUCCCCGAAGGUCCAGAAAUCAGCCUUCAAGGACUUAGCCAAAUUUUCAGCUUUUUCGCCGUUUUCGCUCCGUUUUCGCUCGUUUGACAUCCGAUUCGUUUCAAAUCGAACCGAGACUCUCCAAACAUGUUUUCAAGCAUGUCUUCAUCAUCUUUUCAUCCACGCUAAUGCCGGAUUUAGUCCACGGUCCAACAUAGCCUUUCGGGUCCCGUUUUCGCGCCCUAUGCGCACCGAAGCACCCGAAUGCUCCCGAACUUUGCCGGAAUGAUUCCAAUGGCUUUCUAAGCUAACAUACAUCGUAACUUCAUGAAUUAGAAGUUCGGUAUAUUACACCAAUCUUGUCUCUAUUGUCAAUGUCACCUUUGUUUACUAUUAUCUUGGUCCAAGUCUUACAUUCAUACAAUCUUUAGGACUCUACUAUACAUGUCUAUUAUGGUUCUUGUCAUUCUCUAUAUUCAUCUACGUUAGAAGCAUAAAAUGCAAGAAUGGUUCUAUACAUAGUAUGUUCAACAAAAGGCGAAAUAAACAUAAAGGGGAAUCCAACGAUUCCGGCGUGCACCCCCUACCUUGAAUAGUGUAGAAGGGUUGUAGUUCGACUCUCGUGAUUUUAGGACGCCUCUUCGACUCUCGUGAUUUUAGGACGCCUCUCCUGCGACCUAUACCCAAAGUAGUGCCGAAUUAGGCCCUAUAUACAAGAUCUCUAACUUAACCUUUUUGUAACGUCAAACGAAGUUGUCAUACGUGUCAGAAAUACCCCCAAUUAGAUUUCCAAGAGGUCAAUUUACCUCGGAAACAACCGGAGGUACAAGCCCCAAAAUUCAUGCCCUAACAAUGCCAUAAUGAAAUUUCUCCUAGAUUGAUCUUAUCUCUAAGCAAAUACUAGCUUAGAAUCACCUAGGAAGCUCUCUAAUACCAUCACUAAGCCAUUUAGACUAUUCCUAGGGCAUCAACUAUGAACCCCAGUUAUCCACCAUGAGAGGACCUUGAGCUUCCAUGGUUUUCAUGGAGCUCAAGCCUCAAGAGGGUUUCUAACUCUAGAAACAAACUCAAAACUCUAAAACUUAGGGUUUAAAUCCUAACCCUAGAGCCAUUCUUGCACAAAACUCACCUUCGCCACGAGCUCACCCAAGUCCACCUUGUUGGACAGCCUCUAGAACCACCAAUUCCUCCAAAAUCCACCUUCAAUGCCUUCCAAGCCUCCUCCUCCUUGCUCUAGGGCACACUCUCUAGAGAGAGAGAGAGAAAAAUGAAGUGGAGAGGAGAAGAGGGGCUGCUGCUGUGAAGGGAGGUGUUUCGGGGUAUUUAUGGUAUGCUACAAUUGCAACUAGGCCCCCCAAAUAUCCCUAUUUGCAACAGAUUUUAAAACUGCUGCCAGACCAAAGUGUACCGGUACACGGAAUUUUGUACCGGUACAACACUGCGCAGAGGCCAAACCCGAGAGCAACUCUCUUGGUUACGCGAGAUUUGUACCGGUACAUUUUCAAAGUGUACCGGUACACUUCCAAUUUUUCUCAAACCCGAGGGCUGACUCUUCUCGGGUUGCAGGGCUGUACCGGUGACAUCUCGCUGGUUGUACCAGUACACUUUGCCCAGAAUGCAGGUUUUGCGCCAUUUUCGAUUCUUUUUCACGCCGAUCGAUGCUAAAACCUUUCUAACACCUCUUAAACUCAUUUUAUACCCUUCCAACAUUGUUGGAAUGCUAAUGGAACUUGUCCAUCCAUUUCUCUCGACAACUUUUGUAACAUACCACAUCCCUUGUGAAUCAUACCGAGUUCCGUUAAAACGAGCGGAACGCGAAAUUGAAUGAGUUAAAGUGGACCCUAAGUGCAUUGGAGUUCAUAAACGGAGCAAAAAGGGACCCGGAGAGCAAAUCUGGAAAUCUGGCUAAGUCCCAGAUUUUGAGCUCUCGGGGACCGGUCCCUGAAUGAGAGACCGGUCCCCGUGCGCGUAGCCUGCCAGGAAAUCCUGAGGCAUCCGGUCCCUGAAGGAGAAACCGGUCCCCGUGCGCGUAGCCUGCCAGGAAAUCCUGAGGCAUCCGGUCCCUGGUGGUGAGACCGGUCCUCGGGAGACCGGUCCCUGACGGGCAGACCGGUCCCUCGCUGCGCAACAGCCGAAAACUCGAAAAAUUUGGCUAAGUCCUGGAAAACCCCCGUUCGGGAACCGGUCCCUGGUCGGGGAGACCGGUCCCCGAAGGCGAAAAAUGCCCAGUCUGGGCAGUUCAAGUGGAAACAAGUGGAGGGGCUUAAGUGCAAUUGUUACAACACUAUAUAUGACUCACCCCUCUCUUCCACAGCCAUUUCCACCCUCUCACCCAUUUCCUCUCUUUCUCUCUCUAGAACCCAUGCUCUAGAACUUGGAGAAGAAGAAGAAGAAGAGAAGAGGAGGAGGAUUUGGAGGCUUUGGAGGUUCUAGGAGCUCUCCAACAAGGAGAAUCUUGGUGGAGCUUGGACUAGAGGUAAGUUUUGUAAGGUUUUCCUCUAGGGUUUGGAUUUUGGUUAAGAGAUUUGGAGCUUUGUGCUCCUUAGAGGUUUUAGAAGCUCUUUUGAGCCAUGAACACCAUGGAACCCAUGAGAGCUCAAGGUGCUCUCAUGGUGAAUCCUUGGAAAUGAUGUUUGGAGCCCUAGGGUUGGUACCAAAGGUCUAGAAACCUUGUUAGGAUGCUUCUUAGAUGAUCCUAUGCUAUUCUUUGCUUAGGGUUGGGAUCGAUUCAUGGGAAAACCCUAAAUGGCAAUAUUAGGGCUUGAAUUUGGGGCUUUUGCCCUAGGAUUGUUCGGGGACAAAUUGACCCCGUAGAAACCUAAUUGGGGGUGCCCUAAACACGUUGGACAACUUCGUUUAACAUUUCGAAAAUGUUAGAGUAUAGUUCAUGUACAAAAAGGCCUAAUAUGGCACUAUUUGAUUAUAGGGCGCGGAAUCGGCUUUCGUAAAGUGCGGGGGCCUUAAUAUUCUACACCCACACGACUCACAGAGGUGGGGGGUGCACGCCGGAAUCGUUGGAUUCCCCUCUAUGUCUAUUUCUCUAUUUUUGAGCAUAUAUAUAUAUAUACACCCAUUCAUGCAUAGUAGGGUAGCUACAUGUGGAACUUGGUUUGACUUCAUUUAUAUGCUUCUAACGUAGUUGAACAUAGAGAAUGAUAGAACCAAAAUGGACAUGUGUGAUUGGACCCUCAAGUUGUGUGAAUGUAAGAAUGGACUUGGACAUUAGAAAACAAGGGUGUCAUUGACAUAGAAACAAGAAUUGCAUUGAGAGAUGACCGUUGAAAAUAGUUUGACCCAUAGUGACAUGGUCGAAGAUAAGGCCUUGAAAGUGGCAAAAAUAAAUAGGUAGAGACCUAUCGUGAUAUUGGCAUUGUGACUAGUGGCUAUGAAUCCUCAAGUUGAGGAUUAGAUCGACACUCACCUUUCGUCUUGGCUUGAGGGAGGUCGCUCCCCCUCGAGCGGUGCGCUCCGGAGUUGGUCACCACUGGGCGUGGUAAAGUCCCACCAGUUGACGGUCCCUAGGGAGGUUCGAGUCCCCCGUUAUUAAGGGAUUUUGGGUUGUGAGUUAUUGGGGUUAACAGAGUUAACCGGUAAGAUUGGGUAAGAGCCAAAGUUUGAUUAUGAUUGGAGCAUGCAUGCAUUUCCAUUUUCGCAUUGAAAUUGUAUAUCUACUGACUUUUUCUUGCAGGCAUAGUAUUAGUUGCAUUAGUAAUGGUUACUUUUCUUCCUUUGAAAUACUUAUGCCUGGAUAGACCUAGUGGGUAAGUCGGCGAGGUCGGAUGCCGAGCCCACUGGGAACUUCGUUGUAGUUCUCACACCACUAACCCUACAGGUCCUAGCACGAGCGGGGCGGCGGAGGACCGAGGCAAGGGUUUGGCGCCGUAGGUAGCGGCCACCGGGGACUUUAUGCAUUUUGUAGUCAUUCCCUUUUGUUAUACAUGUAUCAACUUUAUUUUGUUGAUUUAGGUAUGUAAAGUGUAAACAAUCAUGUAUUUGGUGGAUGACUAAAUGUAAAAAGAUACGAUGAUUGAAUAAAAUGUAAUAGUUUUGCUUACUUGAAUUUGGUUUAAAUGAAAUCAAAUAUCAUGUGUGAUUCAUAUUUAGCUUAGAGCUUUCGCUUCCGUUGUUGCUUGCCCUCGUGCGAGCCUUCUAUUAUAUAUGCAAUUCUCUUGUUAAUUGCUUAAUUAUACGUGUUGUUAGAGCCUUGGGCGGACAGGGGAGGCUCUGUCCGUUCGGCGUCUGUCGACGUGACCCGAACCCGACCAAAUUGGUGGGGAUUGGGGCGUGACACAACAUAUGUUAGAAGUCGAUAGAAGAAAACCCGCACACGGUUUGCCUCAAUCGGAAACAACCCCUGGCGCGAGAACGAUCUCCUAAGAAACGAAGAAUCAAAAGAAGCUAGAGAGAGAAAAGGAGGAGAAUUACCCGUUCUCCAAGUCUUCUAUACAUAUAUAUUCUACUGGGGUCGAUUGGGAUAAACCUAACAACAUAAUGACCAAAAGACCCCUUACCAACUCAAAUCUGCUGCCUGAGUACCGGUACUCAAUUUGGGUACUGGUACCCAAUACUCGGACAGCAACUAUGUACUGGCCCAAUGCAGUACCGGUACCUGGUUCCAGUACUGGUACUCACCACCUAGGUACCAGUACUCCAUACAAAACUUCACAACUUGAGAGCAACUAUUCGACAAAUCCUCUGAGGUACCGGUACUACACUCAGGUACCGGUACUCAACACUCAAAGCCUGCUAUUUGCAGAUUUCAGUGUCAGCACUCUACUCUCACACUGUGCCGAACCCGUUUUUGCGUCCAUUUUUGCGCCAAACCGACUCAGACUUGACUCGACACUCUACAAACGUGUCGACAAGCCACUGAUGCUACAGUCACUCAGACAGCAAAACCUCAAGAACACUACAGAGAGGGGGAAAAAGAAAAAGAAAAAGAUAGAUAGAAAGAAAAAGAAAGAGAAGGAAAGAAUGAGAGUAAGAAAGAGAUAGAUAGAAAGAGAAAGAAAUAGAGAAGGAAGAAAAAGAGAGGAUGAAACAAAGUGUGAAUUGGCCCAAUUCGAACCUCUAACUUCGCAAUUGAUCGCCACAGGGUGUAGAGAGGUGUAAAAGAGUUUGCGGCGUGCGUCCAGCAACUCGAAUUUUAAGGUAAUUGGCAUUCAAUUGAGGCGAAUGAGGAGCAAUUAGAAAAUCCGAUGUAUGUCGUAAUUCCGAAAGUUUUGCCUUGUGUAGUGUUUAAGUAUGAUCGUGAGCCGAGGAAAAGUGCAUGAAUGGGGGAUUUCUUUCCAUAGUUAACGUAGCUCGUUGAGGUGGGUUCUGAGUCGCCGAAAAUGGCGAAUUUCCUUCUAUGUCUAUUUGGCACCAUAUAUAGUAUUUGAGCAUCUGUACAUGAAUUAUAUUGUAUUGUUCGUCAUAUCUAGACAUUCGACGCAUGAAUAUGAGACAUAAUACUCGAGCAUGAACAUGAGUAUGAAUAGGAGGCAUGAAUUUGAACUUGAACUAUGAGUAUAUCAAUUUUGACACUGUAUAUCGUACUUGAAGCAUGAACAUGAGUUAUUUCCGUUUAUCUUGUAUUGAGCAUGCCACAAGUGACAUGUUAGAGGUCUAGGCUUCGUGAGACCUUUGACGGCUGCUCUUUAGAUACUUUGUGGCCGAGGAUUCGUGAGACAUGUGUGAUAUUAUUUUUGGAUAUUUAUGAUUGAGUUGAGACCAUUGGAUCAUUUCUUGUGAUUAUUGACCAUUCCAUUGUCUAAUAGACGUUACAUAAUGAUUAUUAGCUAUAUCUCAUAUUAGACAUCCUAACUAAGGUCCUGGGAGGCCACUCUACAUCUUGUGUAUAUUGAUGAGUCGUCUAGUACCCCUAUAUGUUGUACAAAUCAAAGGUAAUGUAAGGUAUCUAUGUGAGUUGUCUAUGUGAUUCAUCUAUGUGAGUCAUCUCUUAUCUAUUUCUCUUGUACAUGCCUGAACUCGAUGAUAGAGGCUGCGGGUGGCGCGGCGGUAGUGUGCAGAUAUUUGGACAUAGAGAGAGAGUAGUUGACUUUAUUGAGUAGUGUGCAUAUUCUUUUGUGACGGUCGACUUCCUGUGUACUCCAUUAUUACGCUGAGGACAGUGUAUUGGGUAUCGUGAUAUUGUUAGCUAUGAGAUAGACCAUAGCCUGUAGAGCCACAGUGAGUUUGACAGAGAUACUUGCUAUUAGACUCGGUAGGGGUUGCUCCCGUUCGAGUGUCGCUCCGGAAGAUGGCUAGUUAUAGCAGAGAUAUGUGUGCCCUUGGGAAGGCGACCCACCUGCGGGAGUGGUGUUCGGGCUGGGGACAGAGCCUAGGUGUUGAUGGUGCACUUGCCGGAAUGCGAUUCCGGCACUAGACGGGCGCAGGCUUGACCGGACGUACGAGUCGAUUAUUGUGAUUGGGUACUAUUAUAGCAUUUAUUUAGUAGUAGUUACAUUGAUGCAUACACUACUCAAUUUCUUUCCUUUCCUCUCGCUACAUGUGCAGGGACAUGAUAGUGCAACAGGUAUAGAGAUAUGUUUAUAUUACAUACAGUUAUUCCUUUACUAUUACCUUAUGUUUCUCUAUGCAGAUCAUAGCCAGUUAAUCUUUUAUUGUACUAUAAAUUCUCUGUUCAGAUCAGAGCCAGUUAUCUUUCCUGUAUACAUGAUAGUCAGUUACAUUUAGCUUCUAUUUAUUGCAUAUGUUACUUUUCUUUCACUAAUCUGGCCGCCACUGGGAACUACUAUUUGGUGGUUUACUUUUUAGGGCUUUACAUACCGGCGGCUGUUCAAGGUGAGGAGGAUCGUGUAGUAGAUAAUAUAUCCCAUCAGCAGGCCUAUACAUUAAAGGACCACCAGUUAGAAGGCCACUAUGUACUACACACAUGUACUGGUGAGGACCAGAGCCUAUACCCUGUACUUUUGUUUUGAGGGUUGCAUUUAUUUGAUGUAGUACAUGAUGUAUUGUAAUUCAUCUUGGAAAUAGCUCUGAUAAAUGUUCUUGUUUAUUUAGUACUUCAUCUUGAUCCUUGUAUUGUAGAAAUCCCUCAAUUAUGACCUUGUGGAUUGUUUUGUACUAUUCGAUUGUGUUGACGCUUCAUUCGGAUAGGGGAAACUCUGUCCGUUCGAUGGGUCUGUUGAUGUCCCUGUGGCUUCCUCUAUGGACUCGGUGCGUGCAGAUUUGGGUGGUAUCAGAGCAUGGACAUAGGUCAAGUGGACGUAGAAACAUUAGGAUUUAGGACGUGAGUGACGUGACCUUUGGGCGAAAGUCAUUAAAUUGAUUCUUGUAAACUCUUCAAAAGGAACUGAAGAGUGAUCGAAGGAUAUGCAUCUUUUCUUCUUAGAUAAUUAUGUUGGCUGCAGACAACAUAAUACUAUAAAAGAAAAGAAUGAGGUCCUUCUCGACUUUCGCUUGAUUGGGUCAAGUUGGGUCCAGUGAGGUGUGUAUGGUGCUUGAUAUAUGUUUUGUAUUAGACACUUGUGCUGACCUAUCACGGCCCACGACUGCCAAUUUGGUCGGUUCGGGCACGUCAACAGACGGCGAGCGGACAGCACCUCCCCUGUCCGCCCAAGGCUCCACCAACACAUGUAUAACAAUAGCAAUUCAAACAAAGAGAAUGCAAGUAUACAUAGCUUGCACGAGGGCAAGCAUCAACCACCAAACAAGUGAAAGUAAUCUAACUAUUACAUUCAUACAUUGUAACUUGAUCAUUUUGAAUCAAAUACAAAGCUUAUACAUUUUCUUUACAUCUAUUCAUCCAAUAUACAUAAUCAUCACCCAAAUGAAUUUAUUACAUUUUUCAUUCAUCAUAUGUAACAGAUGAAUAACAUAAGGUUAUACAACGGUAGUCCGCUACCUAGAGCACGAUAACCAUGCCGCGAUCAUCGACCGCCCCGCUCGCGCUAGGACCUGUAUGGUUAGUGGGAUGAGAACUACAAUAAAGUUUUCAGUGGGUUCGGCAGCUAACCACGCCGACUUUCCCACUAGGUCUAAAUCAGGCAUAAUAGAAGAACAGAUAGAUNGGUUAGUGGGAUGAGAACUACAACAAAGUUUCCAGUGGGUUCGGCCGCCGACCCCGCCGACUCGCCUACUAGGUCUACUUAGGCAUAUGUAAGAAAAGGAUAGAUAGAUAGCAAACCAAACUAAUGCUAUUACAAUGCCUGCAAAGAAACUGGGUCAACAAAUAAUAUGAUCAUAAGUAUAAUGAUGCAUGCAUGCUUUUCCACAUUUACCUUGGCUUUCACCCAAUUAACCCGGUUAACACUUGUUAACCCCAAAAUUCACAACCAAAAUUCCUGUCGAUCGGGGAGACUCUGUCGCUACAACCCGAGGGACCGUCUUCUUGGGAUAAUUCAGCUACACCUAGUGGCGACAACUUCGGAGCACACCGCUUGAGGGGAGCUACCUCCCUCAAGCCAAGACCCUAUGUGAGUAUGAUCCAAUCCUCAAUUUUGAGGACGCAUAGCCGAACCUGCUAUUUUUACCGCAAAACCACAAUGCCACAAUGCCCAAGGUCACACUUGCCACAAUGCACAAAAGGAUUUUAUCUCGUCUAGCAUAUCAUAUACUGGGCCACACUUGCCACAAUGCUCUAAGAAUUUUACUUCAUCUAGCAUAUCAUAUACUGGGCCACACUUGCCACAAUGCAUAAAAGGAUUUUACCUCAUCUAGCAUGCAUAUCAUGUCAUAAUGUCACAAUGUCACAUUAUUAUAAUGUCAUAUCACCAUGCCACAAUGUUAACUAAUGUUAUAGUUCAACAUUUCACAAUGCAUAUAAUGUUUAUCAACAUCAUAAUCCAACAUUCCACAAUGCUCUUAAGGUUUUAUCUUAUUUAGCAUAUCAUAUACUUGGCCACACUUACCCUCUAAUGUUAAUGCCACCUUUGUUUACUAAUGUCAUAGUCCACAAUCCACAAUCAAUUCAUACAUUUAUAGGGUUUAACAUGCAUGGUCGAAUAUUUAUUCAUAUAUUCUCACACCUAGAAGCAUAUCAAGAUUCCCAACCAUAGCCCAAUACCCUACAAUGCAUGAAUGCCAUAACACACAUAUAUGCUCAAGAAAAGGCGACAUAGACAUAGUAAGAAAUUCGGAGAUUUCGGAUAGCACCCCCCAUCUGUAGUGAUGCCGUAAUGCUACGAUUCAAGUCCCGCGAUUUAUGGCCGCCUAUUUCCUCGACCCAUGGCAAAUGAAGCCGAAAUGAGGUUUUUCCUACAUAUCUUGACGUAGAAUUGUAAUACACUGGAUCUUAGCAAAUUGCAAGAUUCGAGUGUUUGAUUUGUGAGUGGAGCCUUUCCACGGUUUUUGGAGGGUCGUUGAUAGUGUUCCGACCCCUGGCACGCACCCCGAGGGUGUUGGUUUGAGUCUUGGCACCAAAAUCCCAAAAUUAGAAUUUUUGGUCAGCCCUCGGAUAGCCUGCAGUAGGGCUAGUACCGGAACAAGACUGGCCUUGUACCGGUACAAGGGUUGAUGGUUGUACCGGUAUAGCCAUCGGGCUUGUACCGGUACAGAGCCGCAGACCGAGCAACCCGAGCCUCGGGUUUGCAUUUUCGUCGGCCUUGUACCGGUACAAGAACCCGUGUACCGGUACAAGGAGGCAGAUUUCGUGCAGUUUGAACUACAGGGGGUUUUUCACGAUUGUGGGCUUUUUAUAACAGCAUCCACGCCCCUUAGGGCUUUUUUUGUGCUGGAACCAGAGGAGAGGAAGGUGAGUGAAGCUCCACCUUGUCCCAUUUGAUUUUGAUCUCCAUUUUGCUUGGUUUUUGAUAGAUUUUCUUCUCUUUUGCCCUUUGGUGCCAUUUCCUCCAUGGAUGAAGCCUCAAGCUUGGAUUUGGAGCUAAGUGGAGGAUAGAUCUUGGGAUUUAAAGGAUUUAGAGCUUGUUUUGAAGCUUCUAAGAGGUAAGCAACAUGUUCUCUCCCUCUAGAUUCAAGCUUUAUUGGAUUUCAUGAGAUGAAACCCUAGAUUUAGGUUUUAGGGUUAAUAUUGGGCAUUUUGAAUCUAGGGCUCUUGGAGCUAGAUUGAGUGGAUUAGAGGCUUCCAUUAGGUUGGAUUGGAUGAGCCCUAGCUUCAUUUUGGAGCUUUAGAGGAGAUUUUUGCACUAGAGGUGAGUUUUCCUCACCUAUGCUUGAUUAGCUUAAUGAUUAAGCUAAGUUUUGUUCGUUCGGCUCGUGUGACUCAUGUUCUUGUACCUUUAGGGUAUUAGGAGUGUGGUGGACGCCCUCGUUGGAGCGCACGAGGAGUUUCGUCGUCAUCGGUGGGUUUGGCUUCGUGGAAAUGGGGCGAAAUGGCCCCUAUGCUCUUUCUACUUGUUGUAAAUUAUUUUUAAGUUCAUUUCUAUGCUAAAUGAAAUUUAUAUGAAUUUUAGAGCACUUAAAAUGCAUGCCUCGUGUAUUAUAAAAAUUUCACUAUAUAGUAGAGCUAUAUGAGUAGAAUGCAUGCAUACGGGAAAAGUGUUUAUUUUGCAAGUGAAAAAUACAUCUCUUAUGAGAAUUAUGACUUGGAAUAUAUAUACUUUGGAACAUAGUUACCAUGUUUUGACAUAGAGAACCAGAGUGUCAUAAAGGGGCACUUGAAACUAGUAAACCAUGAAACUGCAACAUAGAGACAUAUUGGUAGGCCACUACAUAUCUGCUAUAUUCCAUGUUAGAGACAUGAUGACAUAGGGAUAGGCCAUUGAGAUACCUGACACAUUCCAUGUUAUUAGACAUGAGGACUUGGUACUUGCGACAGAUCGUUUGACUACUUGCCAUUGUGCUCAUUCGCACAUGCUUGUGAGGGUCGCUCCCUACAAGCCGGCACUCCGGAGAUGGCCAUCGCGAUACAUAUUCGCCGUGCGGGAUUGGGCGCCGAAGUGGAUUGCCGUGGGCCAGGCUCAUUCCUAGGGUGGGGAUGAUGACUACCACGGGGCCAUUAGGCUCGGCACCGGCCAGACAGCCUACGGGUGGGUCUCAGGGCCAUAGACAGCCUUCGGGUGGGUCUCUUCAGAUUGGACUUUAUAUAUCCGUUAUGACAUGUGGAUAGAUGAUGACUUAGAGUAUUAUUUGGACAUUGACUAGAAUAGUAAACAACGGAACUUUACUAUUUCGCAUUGUGAACAUUAUGAUAGUUGGAGACUUUACUUCAUGCAUAGUUGCUUUCAUACUUUUACUAUUCAUGCUAAGUAGAGAUAUCAUGUCGUAGUAGGUUACAUUUUUACUUACCUGUCGCCUUUCUACUUUUAUAGUCACUGACAUCUUUUGUAGCUUUGGGCCUUGUGGUGCAUCCACUGAAGUCAGUAAUUGCCCACUGGAAACUAUUUUUAAUAGUUCUCAUGCCCCCGUUUUGUGGUUUACUUUUCAGAGCCUUCGGCACCGGCGGAGGCACGGGAUCGCGGCAAGGGGAUCGCUUAGCUAGCUAGCGAGGAGCGGUACUUUGCCUAGGUGGUUUACUCUUUCUUUUUGUAGUUGAGGGAGAGUGAGAGAUUUUGUAUCCAUGUAUAGAGACCACCUAUGUACCUACUUUUAGCACUUGUAUUUGGGAUCCCUAUUGUACUUACUUUAUGUUUUAUUUAGAGGAUUUACAGUUUUAACUUUAUCCCUUGUGGUAGCAAUUAGACAUUCACUAUGCUCUGAUACUCCUAGAUGUCUUUUAUUAUUGCUUUUAUUAUUGUUGUUUUUUAGACGCCUUAUAUGUUGUAGACAUAUGGCGGGUCUGGGCACGCGCCGGGCGGGCUCCUGCUGGGUCCCGGGGCGUGACAAGAAUCGACGAAUCUCCAAACCGAGUGUUCCCACACGUCAGUUUAUCUACCAAUUAGGGCUACAAGAGAUCAAACUCAAGUUAGAUCUCAUAGUUCACAAAACCCCAAAUCUAACCCUAAGGUUUUCAUCUUUACCAAAUAACCCCCUAUUCAUGGAGAUUCACAAACUAUUCCAUCAUGACAUCUCCUAGAAGCUACAUCUAGAAGGAAAUAAUCAAACCCUAACAUCAAAACCCUCAAAACAUAUGAUACUUAUCUCAAACCAAGAUUUCCUCCAUGCAAGGCUUGAAGAAGAGGGUUGCUCCACCACCAAGCUAACUCUUCUCCACCAUAACUCCACCAUUGGAGCCAUCCCAAGGAGAGAGAGAGAGAUCUAGAAAGAGAAAGAGAGCUCUCAAGUGUUGGGUGUGAAGGGGAAAAUAAGAGGGGAAACCACUCUACCUCUCAUAUAUGCACUCACCAUGGCACAAAUGCACAAAGGCCCUCCAAAUAACAAAGCUCACCCAACUCUGCCACAUUUCGUGUAUGGGGUUCGGACCCUACAGGCAGGGUUCAGACCGCGAGAGCAAUUCCAGCCCAGCAGCUUGGAAUUCCACCAAUUUUGCUCUCCCAUGUCCGAACACCACAUAAAUCAUUCCGAAAUGUCCGGAAUGCAUAACAGACCUCUCUAACAUGUCCGUAACCACACUUCGGUCAAUUUGACGAAAGUUCGGUAUAACCUAUUGGGGAUACGGUAUGUGUAACAUAGCAAUUCCCCGUGAGUCGUGCCGAGUUCCGUCGAAAUGUGCGGAACGCGGAAACGAAUGAGUUACUAUAGGCUAAAAGUGCAUUGGAACCUAUAUAAAUGUCAAAGGGACCCGAGAGAGUGAAAUUGCAAAAUCUGGCUAAGUCCCAAAUUUUGGGCUCUCGGGGACCGGUCCCUGAGAGGAGACACCGGUCCCCGAAAGCGUAUUAGCCGAGCAGAGGGAAAAAUCAUUUAAGUCCUGAAAAUUGAGCUCUCGAGAACCAGUCCCUGGGUGAGAGACCGGUCCCGAGAGACCGGUUGCAUCGGGGGGAGACCGGUCCCCUUCUGCGAAGGCUGCGGGGUAGCUCUCGAGAACCGGUCCCUUGCUUCAAAGACCGGUCUCCGAUUGCGGGUUGCACAGUAAGAGCUGUUUGCAAAAAUGAAAAUGAGAGGGGCUUAAGUGCAAAUGUGUCAUGUGAAGGGUUAUUUGAGCUAGGGCAUGGGUGAGAGCUCAUUUGCUCUCACUCUCACCCUCAAACCUUUCCCUCUCUCUCUGUCACGCCCGGCCCCGAAACCACUACCAAUUUGGCACGGUUCGGCAGCGGCGGCGGGCCGCCGAACGGACAGCACCUCCCCUGUCUGCGCAAGGCUCAACAAUAGGAAUGUGUACAAGAAUUUACCCAGAAAAUUAAAUUCUAAGCAUACACAUUCAAGAGGGCACAAACAGUGCCAACAAUACAGAGAGUAAGCGAUCCACAAGAUAAAACUAGUGAAAUAAAGAGAGUACUUUACUAACUAUUACAAUAGUUCCAACAUUCUCAUUUACAUCAUUUUCUUUAAAUGAAUACAUUUGUCAUCCCAAAAUACAUAGCUCUCCAAAUCCUCACCUACAAUGAAUCUCUCUCUCUAUACAUAGGUGACUAAUGUAAAAAGGAAAGCUACUAUACUACCACGGUCUCACUGGUCGGGCGCGAUGCCCUUGCCGCGGUCCUCUCUCUGCAGCCCUGAACCUACCACUGGAAAUAGAGUGAGGUGAGAACUAUCUUCCAUAGUUCCCAGUGGGCUCGGCCGCCGACUCUGCCGAUCUCCCCACUAGGUCCAAGUGGGCACAAGUAACAGCAGAUAGAUAGAUAGAUAUGUAUCUGAAAGCUGUAAAUGCAAUAGUAGGAAAAACUAUGCUACUAUGCCCAUAAUCAUGAGUAUGAAUGCAUGCAUCAUAUAAUAAAGGUUUGCUAUCAUGCUAACAAAUUCGAUCCAUGUUCGAAUAGCAAUGUUCAAUGACAUUAAUAAACCUUUAACCUUUCCAUUUACCCAAUCUGUGGCGAGGCCCUAGGGCUCGCCCAUAACUCACCUUUCAAUCCCAAAGUGGGGAAGGAGCUCCAAGUGCACCCAAGCCCGGGACCGUCUGCGGACCUCCAUGUGGUCCAGACCUCCAUGUGGUCCGGACCUCCAAGUGGUCCUAGUCGCACGACACUCCGGAGUACUCGACGACAAUCCCCUCCAUGUGGGGAUUAGAUGACUAUACCAUCCCAAACGCAGACUGUGAGCUAGAUCUGUCCUCUCCAAGUGAGGACGCCCUACAUCUAGGGUCAAUACCCAAUCGAAUCCUCUCCAAGUGAGGAAGCACUAUCACUAGGGUCCACAACCCAAUCAAAUCCUCUCCAAGUAAGGAUACUCUACAACUAGAGUCGACAUCUCUCGCGGAAUCAUUUGUUCCCGACAUCCAUGCAAUGCUAUUUAGCGUUUCUAAAUUCAUUGUUCACAAGGCAUUUUCUAAGGGAUCCGCCUAUCCCUAGGUCCAUCGACCUCUAGUGUCGUUACACUACAUUAAUGCCACUCGUCAUCAUUCAAUGUUUGGAUGCCACUCGUUUGUUCUUUAACAAUAGCACUACUCUCUAUGUCAUCAACACCCCCAUCGGGUUCAUCUCUAUCUUUAGCAUCAUAGGAUCCACGUUCCGACCCAAUCCUCACCUAUCUAUGUUACCAAGCGUUCCAAGUACACUAGAUUAUCAUUUAGAAAGCAUAAGGAAUGGAGCUACUAUGCAAUCCUACAAUGCAACAUAAAGAUAUGAGAUUAAAUGCAAUCUAAGACAUAGAAAGGAGUUCGAAAGCUUCGGGAUGGCACCCCCCACCUUUUAUCGAUGUAGAGGCUUUGGAAACGCUCCUUGGCGAACUUUACGAAAAGGCUUUAGCCUUUCUCGCCCAAAUCCAAGCUAUCCCGACCCUAUUUUGCCGAGAACUCCACGCCGGCUCGCCAAACGCUAAAACCGACUUCGCCCCUACGUUUCGUGACCUACCAAUAGGGUUUCCAAGGCGUCAAAUGAGAUCAAUCUCAUAUUUUCACAAAAACUCCAUUUUGGAGCCCUAGGUUUGCACCUAUAGCAAACCACCCAAUAAAUCCCUAGAUUCUUGGGAUUGAUCUAUUUAGAAGCUAGCUUAGGGUUCAUUUGACCCAUUCCAAAGCAUAAAACCCAAAACCCUAAGUUUUACAAGCUAGGGUUUGUAGCUUACCUCUUGAGCUACACCAAUGGAGAAGAGAGAAAGAGAGAAAGAUGCUCCAAGCCUUCUCUAUCUUGUUCUCCUCCUUCUUCUUCUUCUUCUCUUCCUUCUUCUUCUUCUCUUUCUUCUUCUCCUUCUCUUUUGUUCUUUCUUCUCUAGAGAGAGAGAGAGGGAGCAAGAGAGAGUGUGAGAAAGAGAGAAAAUGAGAGGGUAUGAGGGAGAGAGAGGGCUCAGCCCACUCUAAUAAAGGCCAUUUUACAUUUAGACCCCUCAACUUUUCACCCAUUGCACUGCCCUCACUGGACAGUUUUCGCCCGGAGGGACCGGUCCCUGGUCGGGGAGACCGGUCCCCGAGAGCUCUCCCUGCAGUCUGGGGACUUUUCGCGUUCGGGAACCGGUCCUCACCUUAGGAACCGGUCCCUGGGAGACCAAUCUCUCCUAAGAGACCGGUUCCCGAACGGGAAACCUUCAGGACUUAGCCAAAUUUUGGCUUUCCUUCGCGGGUGUCGCGCACGGGGACCAGUCCCCUCAGCCAGGGACCGGUCGCAUCGACCUCCCCCGCGACCAUCAGCUACGGGGACUGGUCCUUCCCUCUAGGGACCGGUCCCCGAGAGCAAAAAUCUGCUGAGUCCAGAUUUUGUCUAUUUGCUCUCGCGGACUCAACUCCAAAGCACUUUUUGUGUUUUGGACAUCUCCAACUCCCACAAAGGGUACACUCUCGACAGUUAGUCGAUCCUGGAUGAAGUACAAUCCUCGAAUUUCGAGAAUUCACUUUCUUACACUCUCUCUAAAAACCUCUCAUUUCUCUCUCCCUCUCUCUCUAGGGCUUGGACCAAGAGGGCUUUUGGAGGAGCAGCUUGGAGAAGAAGCUCUCCAAGGUGUAGAGCGAGGUAGAGCAAGGCUUUGAAGGAAAGUUUUGGACUCCAAAGGUGAGUUCUUGUGAUUUUAAGUUAGGUUUUGGGUUUUUGCUUCUAAUUGAAGCAUCUAAAGAUCUCUAUAGUGGAUUUUCUCCAUUUUCUUCAUGUUGAGGACCUAAAAUGGAGAAGAUGAUGUUGUAUAGGGACCCAAAUUUGGGGUUUUGUAAAAAUGAGGUCGAAGCUUGGGAUUGAUCUCAUUCUAACCUAAUUGGUAAGUCAACGAACGCAUCAGUGCGCUCGAUUUGGCGAUACAACGAGCGUGCGCGAAGAUAUUGAAAAGAGAAGCCGAAUUGGUACAGAUUGCCGCAACUCGCGGCGAAAGUGUCUAAAAAUCAUGAAAACAAAACCACGGCAUCCUAGUAUCACACAAAGGUGGGGGGUGCUAUCCGAAAACACCGAGUCUCUUUCUAUGUCUAUGUCACUACUUUUGAGCAUGUUGGUAUUAUAGCAUUCUUGCAUGUAGGGUAAUGAAUGGUAUAUGUUGAUUGCAUCAAUUAUCUGUUUAAGAUUAUUGUGAGUGAUAUAGAACCAUGUGAACAAAGGAAACGAAUAACCCUAUAUGCAUGUGAAUGUAAGAAAAGACUAUUGACCAUAGUAAAUAAUGGUGACAUUGACUAUAGUGACUCGAUUGGCAUUGAAAUGAGUAUAGUUAAACAAGGUUUAACCCAAGUGACAUUAUGUGUAUUAUGGCAUCAGGACCAUUGUGGCUCAUAUUGGUGGUAUAUAUGAUAUGGUAGAACCUAUCAUUAGCAUUGAGAUAUUGAGGCAUGAGAUAGGUUUGGCUAUGCCUCCCCAAAUUGAGGAUGGGAUCAUACUCACACGUAUUGGUUCCGGCUUGUGGGAGGUCGCUCCUCCACAAGCGGUGUACUCCGGAGUGUAGACACCACAGGUGAGAGUGCUCGGCGAAGAUCCCUCGGGUGGUUGAGCCUUGUGCCUCCCCCAUUAGACGGGAUAUGUGGAUUGUGAGUUUGGGGUAAACCAGGAGCACCCCGGGUUGAUUGGGUAAAGGCCAAAGAAAAUGAGAAAUGGACAUGAAUGCAUAAUCAUCAUGUAUUUGAAUAUGAAUAUCUAUCUGUGGAAUGUUUUCUUGCAGGCAUUGUAUUAAAAGUGCAUUAGUUGGUUUGUUAUCCUUCUUUUUUGAAAUACAUAUGCCUGAAAUAGUCCUAGUGGGCGAAUCGGCGUGGUCGGCGGCCGAACCCACUGGAAACUUCGUUCUAGUUCUCAUUACCACUAACCCUGCAGAUCCGUGCGCGAGCGGGGCGGCGGAGGAUCGAGGCAAGGGUAUCGCGCCGUAGCUAGCGACCCUCGAGAUAUUGGCAUACUCUACAUUUUGGUGUACUCAACUGUAGGUGCUGAACUGUGAAUGAUGUAUAGCAAGAAAUGUAAAUUAUAUUUUGGGUAAUGUAAGAAUGAUGUAAAUCAUGUAUUUUGGUUAAAGAAAAACGUGAUGUAAAUGAAUGGGUAAAUGAAUGUAAAUAUAAUAGAUUACUUGUGUUUGAUUCAAAUGAAAUCAAAUGACUUAUAUAUUGGAUGCUUAGAUAGUUUCGAUGCUUUCACUUGUGGCUGUUGUUUGCCUUCGUGCAAACCUUGUAUAUCUCGCAAUUUUCUUUAUUGAUUUGCUUGUAAUAUACUUGUUGUUGGAGCCUUGGGCGGACAGGGGAGGUGCUGUCCGUUCGGCGUUUGUCAUGUGCUCGAAUCCGACCAAAUUGGUGGAGCUUGGGGCGUGACAGUAUGUUACAUGACCAAGCAUGAGCGACUAAUGAGGCUGACCACAUUUGCCUAUUCGCAAAGUUGAAGCUGAUCAAAUCAAGUGGGACAUAUGAGUUUUUGGCACACCACUAGACGACAGGAAGUGUUCUUGUAAUGGACAUGAGAGGUGGAGAAUAGCAUGCUUUUUGGAUGGAAUACGUGCCUUGCGUUGGAGAGGAUUAGCAAAGAAUCGGUACGAGGCAAUGGUAGAGAGUGGCCAAUAGAGGGUAAGGCUAGAUUGUUCAGUCUAGGGAAAUUGUCUCGGUAGGAUGGCGGCUCAGUGAAAUUAGGCUAGUUGGUGGAAUUACGCUAGUUUGUUCAGUCUAUGCGUUAUCUCUGGAGGGCCGCAUCAGCCGCGGAUGUAGUGAUGCAGCUCAUUUGGUGUUCGAAAACAUGCAGUGUAGCUUUGUUGAGUCGAAAAUUCUAUUGAGUUCGAGUAAAUGUUGUAAUCCAUGCGAGCAAAUUUCAAACGGCCAUAACUUUUUGCUAUAGUAUCUGAUUUCAGCGUGCAACCCUAAUUCGGAGAACAAUUUUUGAGAUCUACACCUUGAAUUGCAAAGCCAUUCCGGCUGAGUUUGGGACCCAACUUCAAUUGUUUCGACCUUCAUUUUUGCAGCUUUAGGUUAUCUUCGAAAGUUUUUGCCUGUAUCUCUCGUUUUCAGCUGAUUCUUUGAUUCCUUCUUAUUGGAUAGGUGUCGAGGUAUCUUAGAAGAUAUAUUAUAAAGGCUUUCAUCCCUGUUGAGAAACCAGUUCUUUAUGUACUAUCUCUUUUUAUCUUUGUGCUAUCUUCUGCUCAACGCAGCUGUAGGCCUAUGUCAGUUGUACCGGGCGAGAGGGAGGAUGUUUUUGCUCUGGGUGGCAGGGACCUUGUGACUCAACCUAUUUUUCCAUGUGGCUCCACUGAGGAACAGAUGUGUGAUAUGUAUGGGACCUUACCGAUUGGGUCACCGUAGAUCGAGGGAAGGUUUCGGCUCGAUGGUCUGCGAGUGCGUGGGCAACAUGCUUAGCCGAGUCCGUGGGCAACAUGCUUAGCCCUGUUAUCAGUUGUGGCACCAAACUUCACACGAUUAAGGAUGGGGAUCUUAUCAAUUUUUGUUUUGAAAGAUCGAGUAAUAGCGGCUUCCCAGGUUGAUUACCUACUAUAAAAGCAAAGUGAUCAUGUUUUAGUAACACAGAUGGAGGACUCUAUGGCAAUAGAUUUUAUGAUGAUAGAUUAGUAGAAUUUAGACUCAAGGUAUUGCAUUAGUUGAUAUGGUGGAUGGUGUAUGCAGACCUAUUGAUCCUGAGACUAUUGCAGGAUUUCGAUGUUGCAUUGAGGAUGGUCGAGUGCUCACUAAUGUGCGAUGAGAGAUUGUGUGGUGAAGAUUGUGGUCUUCUAUGAGUAAGGAUAGGGGGACUUUAUUUAUAAGAUUUGUUCAAACACCUUUUUCGCCACGAUACUUUCUUUGUCAUGAACAAGAUAAAUAGUGAGUUGUUGACAGCUGUGGUUGAGGUGCUUAUGGCGGUAUUGAGAUUCAAGCACAUUCUUGUAAUCUGAUAAAUUGCAACUGUAUCCCUUCCUAAGCUACCUGGUGUGCAGAUGGACAUGGACAUAGGGUUGUGAUUGGUGUAGUUUCAAGGACUGUGUUAAUCUUGAAGACGCUUUAUAAAUGGCAACAAUAGAGCUUAGAAAGCUAAAGGCACAGCCAUGGAACUUGGUGGAUAAAGGAUUUGUGAAAUUUAGCAGGGCAACACAGAGAGCGCUGGUGUUAUUUACGAAGAAGAAGGAAAGAUCAUUUAACUUGUAUGUAGAUUACAGGAAAUUGAAUAGCGUGACUAUCAAGAAUAAGUAUUCUUUGCCGCAUAUCGACGAUCUUGUGAUUAGUUGCAAGGACUUUGUGCCUUCUCUAGGACCAGUUUGCCACAAUGUGGAAUGGGCAUUAGGAGUUGACAGAGAGGCCAUUGGAUUGAAAAAUGUCUCUGCUGCACUUAUGGGUUUGGUGAAUAGAGUGUGCAAGUUGAUCUUCGAUCCAUUGGUAGUAGUAUUUAUUGAUGAUGUUCUCGUUUACUCAUAGAAUACUCUUGAACAUGAGGAACACUUGAAGCUUGUGUUAUUGAUUAUGUGAUUCUAUGAUUUGAAAGGGGAGGAAUGUUAGCGCACCAAAUUUUUACUACCGCCAAGAUUAAUUGGGUGUAACAUAUCGAAUCCCACGACGAGUUGUACCGAACUUCCAUCAAAUUGACCGAAACGCGGAGUCGGAUGUGUUAGAAUGGUCCGUAGUUCAUUUCAAAUGCUUUGGAAUGACUUGUAUAGGGAAUAUGGACAUGGGAGAGCAAGCUGGAAAAAUUUCAGCUAGUUUUGAGCUGAAGUUGCUCUUAGGGUCCGGACCCUGUGCAGGGCAGGGUCCGGACCCUGUGCAGGGUCCGGACCCCGUAAGCAAAAAAUGGCCAGGGAGGGCUGCCCUGUUUAGUGAGGGGGCUAUGUGCUAUUGCGUGUGUGGGUGUUUGUAAGUGAGGGCUUUGUGUGUUAGCCUCAUUUCCUCUCAACCCAACACCAAAAGAGGAAACCCUUUUCUCUCUCUAAAACUCUUCUCUCUCUCUCCUUCUCUCUCAUUAGGGUUGCUCCAAGUGUCACACCCCGGGACCGAUACCAAUUUGGGCCGGCCUGGGCACGUCAAACAGACGCCGAACGGACAGAGUUUCCCCUGUCCGCCCAAGGCUCAUCACCUGUACAUUUUCAAGUAGAGAAAAACACUAGCGGAAACAUACACAAACGGCUUACACGAGGGUAAGCAAUAGCCAUGAGUGAAAAAAAUGAAACUAAACAACUACACAAUUACUAUGAUUCAACUUUUGAUCACAUACAUUGCAUUUAACCUUCAUAUUCAUGAUUCUUUACAUUGCUUGCAUCAUUUCUUUUACAUCACAUUUGCUCAAAAUAAACAUUACAUUCUUUGCUUUACAUCACUAGUCAUCAAGUACAAAAGAUGAUCAUAGGUAAACUACUAACAAAAUGUAAGAUAAACUCGAUUCGGGUGGCCACUGUCUAGGGUGCGAUACCUUUACCGCGGUCGCUCGCCGGCUCGCUCGGUCCCGGCUCUGUGGAAAUAGUGGGGUGAGAACUACAAUGAAGUUCCCAGUGGAUUCGGCCCCAAUCUUACCGACUUUCCCACUAGGACUAACUCAGGCAUAAUAGAAAGGAUAAGUAGAAUAGUAACCAAACUAUAAUCAUGAUGCUAAUAUGCCUAAACAAUAAAGCAAGAAAUAUGCUCAACGUAAAUCAUGCAAGUAUGCAAGUUCUUUGUUCCUUACUCUUUAUUCUUUAAUCUUUGUUCUUUGUUCUUUAAUCUCAUGGCUAAUCCGGGGGUUUCGCCACAUUAACUUGCCCACAUUAAGUCCAUCAUCGCGGGCCCUCAGCUGCCUCCCGCUAAGACCGUCCUCGGGUUGACUCCAACCCGUGAUGGAAAACUCCGAAGCGCAUCGCUCGAGGGGGAGCUACCGCCCUCGAGCACGGAACUCAUAGCAAGUAUGAUCGAUCCUUAACUCUAAGGAUAUAUAGUUCAAUCAUUGUCUUUACACUAACUCUAGUAUUCAUUACAUCACUUUAUUUUGCUAACUCUAGCAAUCAUCGUCCUUUAACUUUACUCGUUCUUUAUGCCACUUUCAUUUUCUUUACUUGUCUCUAAUCAUUAUCAUUAUUUUUGCGUCACAUUUCUCUUUGAUGCCACACACACUAACUCUAGUGUCACAUUACUUCACAUUGUCGGAUGCCACUCGAUCUAUGUUUUAUUGUAUCACUAUGUUCUUUCGUCUCAUUGGGCGCUCACACUAUAUCUCAUGCAUACAUAUAGGGUUGAAUAGGUUCUCAAACAUUUUGAAUAGCACGUGUACUCACAUCAUGCAACAUUCACAUACAUAACAUCACAUCUACCCUAUAAUGCAUGCAACAAUAUAAAUAUAUGCUCAAUUGAAUGACACAUUAGGCAUAGAGGGAAUUUCAACAAGUUUGGAUAGCACCACCCGCCUCGUAGGCGUACUAGUUUGCUAUAAUGAUUUUCUUGGGAUUUUUAGACUCCUAGUUCGUCACCUGCGGCAAAACGAAGCCAUAUUAGGCCAUUUUGCACAUAACUUUACAUCGGCUUUUCGUAAUGUUAAACCGAGCGCACCAACGCGUCGGAAAUACCCCCAAUUAGAUUUCUAGAUGGUCAAUUUCACUUUGAAACCUUCACAAGCAAAAGCCCUAAAUUUGGGCGCCCUAGCUCAUCCCAUAUCAAAACUAGGAUUUUGAUCUCUUAGAGAAGCAAAAGUAAGCUUCAAAUCAUCUAAAGGUUCCAUUUGAACCAUCCCUAGGUCAAUCAAAACCCAUUUUAGGGUUUCACCAUGAGAAGGGUUGAAGCUUACCUUUAAGCUUCACCACCUACACCCAAUCCAUGGUUUUGAUCUCAUCCACAAGCAUAAGAAAGCUUGAAAUACCCAAAGGCUCUACCAAAACCAUUCCUAGGUCACUUGGUUCUCAUUCUAGGGUUUUACCAUGAAUAGGGUUCAAGCUUACCUCUAAGCUUGCUCCUAUGUUACUCCAAAGAGGAAGAAGAGGAAGUAGCUCUAUUCCUUAGCUUCUUCUUCACCUUCUACUCUUUCUCCUUCUUCUUCUUUUCCCUUUCUUUCCUUUCUUCUUUCUUUUCUUUCUUCUUCUCCUUCUUGUCUUCUAGAGAGAGAAAGAGAGGAGUGAGUGUGUGAGAGGGAGAGAAUGAGAGGAAAAAGCUCUCAUAGCCCUCCACAUAACCCAUGGGUUGCAUAAAUGCAAAUAAGCCCCUCAACUUUUAUUCUCUUGAACUGCCCGGACUGGGCAUCUUUCGUGCUCGGGGACCGGUCUCCCCGACAUGGGACCGGUCCCAGAGAGCCCUCCCCGCGGGCAGCCAGGGCCCCUGCGCAAUGCAACCGGUCUUUCCCAGAGGGACCGGUCUCUCCCGACAGGGACCGGUUCCCGAGAGCUGGUUUUCUGGGACUUAGCCGAUUUUUCAGCUUUCUCAUUUCUCACGCGUUCAGGUACCGGUCUCUCCCACUAGGGACCGGUCCCCGUGUCACGCCCUGAGCUCCGCCAAUUUGGUCGGAUUCGAGCACAUGACAGACGCCGAGCGGACAGCACCUCCCCUGUCCGCCCAAGGCUCCAAUAACAAGUAUAUUUCAAGUAAAUCAUUAAAGAGAAUUACGAGAUAUACAAGGUUUGCACGAAGACAAACAACAACCAUAAGUGAAAGCAUCGAAACUAUCUAAGCAUCCAAUAUACAAGUUGUUUGACUUCAUUUGAAUCAAACACAAGUAGUCUAUUACAUUUACAUUCAUUUACCCAUUCAUUUACAUCACAUUUUUCUUUAACCAAAAUACAUGAUUUACAUCAUUCGUACAUUACCCAAAGUAUAAUUUACAUUUCCUACUUUACAUCAUUUACAGUUCAACACCUACAGUUGAGUAUACCAAAAUGUUGGGUAUGCCUAUAUCUCGAGGACCGCUAGCUACGGCGCAACACCCUUGCCUUUUUCCUCUGCCACCCCGCUCGCGCACGAAUCUGCAGGGUUAGUGGUAAUGAGAACUAGAACGAAGUUCCCAGUGGGUUCGGCCGCCGACCACGCCGAUUCACCCACUAGGUCUACUUCAGGCAUAUGUAUUUCAAUAAAGAAGGAUAACAAACCAACUAAUGCACUUCUAAUACAAUGCCUGCGAGAAAGCAAUCCACAGAUAGAUACUCAUAUUCAAAUACAUGAUGAUUAUACAUGCAUGUCCAUUCCUCAUUUUCUUUGGCUUUUACCCAAUCAACCUGGGGUGCUCCUGGUUUACCCCAAACUCACAAUCCACACAUCCCGUCUAACGGGGGAGGCACAAGGCUCAACCGCCCGAGGGAUCUUCGCCGGGCACUUUCACCCGUGGUGUCUACACUCCGGAGUACACCGCUUGUGGAGGAGCGACCUCCCACAAGCCGGAACUAAUACGUGUGAGUAUGAUCCCAUUCUCAAUUUGAGGAGGCAUAGCCAAACCUAUCUCAUGCCUCAAUAUCUCAAUGCUAAUGAUAGGUUCUACCAUAUCAUAUAUACCACCAAUAUAAGCUACAAUGGUCCUGAUGCCACAGUACACAUAAUGUCACUUGGGUUAAACCUUGUUUAACUAUACUCAUUUCAAUGCCAAUGGAGUCACUAUAGUCAAUGUCACCAUUAUUUACUAUGGUCGUAGUCUUUUCUCUCAUUCACAAGCAUAUAGGGUCAUUCGUUUUCUUUAUUCACAUAGUUCUAAAUCACUCACAAUAAUCUUAAGCAGAUAAUUGAUGCAAUCAACACAUACCAUUCAUUACCCUACAUGCACGAAUGCUAUAAUACCAACAUACUCAAAAGUAGUGACAUAGACAUAGAAAGAGACUCGGUAUUUUCGGAUAGCACCCCCGACCUUUGUGUGAUACUAGGAUGCCGUGGUUCUAUUUUCACGAUUUUUAGACACUUUCACCGCAAGCUGCGGCAAUCUGUACCGACUCGGCUUUUUUUUUCAAUAUCUUCGCGCACGCUCGUCGUAUCGCCGAACCGAGCGCACCGAUGCGUUCGUUGACCUACCAAUUAGGUUGGAAUGAGAUCAAUCCCAAGCUUCGACCUCAUUUUAUAAAACCCCAAAUUUGGGUCCCUAUACAACAUCAUCUUCUCCAUUUUAGGCCCUCAACAUAAAGAAAAUGGAGAAAAUCCACCAUAGAGAUCUCUAGAUGUUUCAACUAGAAGCAAAAACCCAAAACCUAACUUAAAAUCACAAGAACUCACCUUUGGAGUCCAAAGCUUUCCUUCAAAGCCUUGCUCUAGCUUGCUCUACACCUUGGAGAGCUUCUUCUCCAAGCUGCUCCUCCAAAAGCCCUCUUGGUCCAAGCCCAAGAGAGAGGGAGAGAGAAAGGAGAGGUUUUUAGAGAGAGAGAGGGAAAGGUUUGAGUCUGAGAGUGAGAGCAAAUGAGCUCUUACCCAUGCCCUAGCUCAAAUAACCCUUCACAUGACACAUUUGCACUUAAGCCCCUCUCAUUUUUAUUUUUGCAAACAGCUCUUACUGGGCAAGUCCCGCAGUCGGGGAUCGGUCUCUUAAGCAAGGGACUGGUUCCCAAGAGCUACCCCGCAGCCUUCGCAGAAGGGGACCGGUCUCCCCCCGAUGCAACCGAUCUCUCGGGACCGGUCUCUCACCUAGGGACCGGUUCCCGAGAGCUCGAUCUCCAGGACUUAGCCGAUUUUUCCCUCUGCUCGGCGGAUACGCUUUCGGGGACCGGUCUCUCCCCUCAGGGACCGGUCCCCGAGAGCCCAAAAUCUGGGACUUAGCGAGAUUUUGCAAUUUCACUCUCUCGGGUCCCUUUAACAUUUAUAUAGGUUCCAAUGCACUCUUAGCCUAUAGUAACUCAUUCUUUUCCGCGUUUCGCACAUUUUGACGGAACUCGGCACAACUCACGGGGAAUUGCUAUGUUACACCCCGAGAGCUCAAAACCUGCAGAAUGCAGAUUUUUUAUUCUUUAGCUCUUGAAAACCUCCCACAAUGCACUUUUACUCCUUUGAAAACCUUCGGACUUUCGAAAUGUACCAUCCUAGCACUUUGGUCAAUUUGACUAAAGUUCGAUAUUUAUUUUCCGAAUUUUUGAUAUAUUACACCAAGAGAGGGGUCUUGGUGGAGAAGAAGACUAAGUUGGGGGUAGAGCUAGCUAUUGCGUAAGAGUUGAAGGAAAGCUUGGAACCUAAGGUGAGCUUUCAUGACUCUAAGCUAGGGUUUAGUGGUAUUUCCUUCUAGUUUAUGUUUUUAGAGGAUGUAAUAGUGGAUUUGGUCAUGAACCUCCAUGUUUUAGGGGGUUAUUUGGUAAAGAUGAGAAACCUAAGGUUGUUUUACGGUUUUGUAAAUAUGGAGAUCUAAGCUAGGUUUGAUCUCUUGUAGCCCUAAUUGGCGGAUAGUCUGAUGCGUUGGAAGACUCGGUUCGAAGUUUCGACAAGUCUAUGCGACGAUAUUAGGAAAAGUCCCCAUUUUGGCUUCGUUUGCUGCAGUUGGGAGAAAUUGGCGGCUAUAAAUUUCGAGACUUGAACUGUAGCUUCUCGGUAUCCCUACAAGGUGAGUGGUACUACCCGAAAUCACUGAAUUUCUCAUUAUGUCUUUGUCGGCUCUUUGAGCAUAUAUGUGUAUAGUUAGUAUUCAUGCAUUUUAGGGCUAUGUGACAUGUUAAUAUGGUUGAGAAUCUUUGUAUGCUUCUAGGCUAGAGAACAUAUGAACUGAAAAUGCACCAUGCGUAUUGGAACCCUAUGAAUGUGUGAAAUGAUUGGACUAUGACAAUAGUAAACAAAUGUGACAUUGACAUUAGCGGACAUGAUUGGCUCCGAUGAUAUGAGACAUUAGCGGACAUGAUUGGCACCGAGGAUAUGAAAUGCUAGACAAGGUAAAAUCUUAAGAGCAUUGUGGCAUUGGGGCAAGAAUAGCAAGUUUGCCUAUGCAUCCUCAAAAUUGUGGAUUGGAUCAUAUUCACAUUGGGUCUUGACUUGAGGGCGGUAGCUCCCCCUCAAGCAGUGUGCUCCGGAGUUGUCACCACUGGGUGUAGCGGAAUUCUCCCCAGAAGACGGUCCCUCAGGUUGUAGUGUGUAAGAUAUGGAUACCAACGAUCUAAAAGGUAAAUAACACCUAGAGGGGGGUUAAUAGGUGUAAACGGAAAAAACAAAACUCUCGAUGCAAAAUAAAACUAAUAGCGGAAAAUAAAAUCAAACACCGAGAUUUAAAGUGGGAAUACUCCAACUCGGAGUAAAAAACCCACGGGACCGAUCACACGAAAACAAUCCAAUAUGAAAAAUUGAGUACAAGUGAUUUACCGAAACUACACGACUCAAUUUACCGAAUCCUCGUUGUAGAUUGUCUUCGCCGGUCCUCGAUCGAUUGAACUCCUUCAACCGAUCACGCUGCAAGCCCUCGUAGCAAACACGCCCCGAAUCCACGAAGCGCACAUCGAAUCCACGGCCUUCACGCGAACUCCACGCGCCAACGCUCCAUCCGGAGCUCGUAGAGAAGAUAAUUUGUGGUGAUUGAAACUUAGAAAACCAUAAGCUAUGAAGAAUUCCCUUUUAGUCAAUCAUCAACUUGAUUCUCAAAGGAACAUUCAAAUUAUAAACCUAAGAAUCAAGUCGUCGAUCAACAAUUCGAAACUUGCUUUAAGAAUAGAAUCAUAAAGCUCAAAAACAAGUUUCUAGGGUUUCAUAAAGGUCUAAACUCCAAAGCCUCUAUCAUAAUGUAACCCCUAUAGCUUAUUUAUAGAUUUAGAAGACUUAGAAGUAAACUAGGAUUGCAAAAAGUCAUUUUUGGAAACAAUUACGAUUUCAGGGUCCGGUCCUCCCGAGGGGUCCUGUAACGCACUGGACCUUUGCAAAUUGCGAGGUUCGAGUGAUUGGAUGAGUUUCGAGCUUUUCCACACUUGGUGGUGGGUCGUAGAAUGUUUUUCGAUCCAAAAAUUUCGAAAAUCUGAGUUUUGGACGAGUCCUGAGAGUUUUUACUCUCGGGGACUGGUCCCUGAAAGGAGAGACCGGUCCCCCAGUGAACAGUGUUGCACAGCCGGCGAGGCAACCGGCCCCUGGCGGGCGAGACCGGUCCCCGAGCGCGUCUUCGCAGUGAGAGACCGGUCCUCCGCAGGGAGAGACCGGUUCCCGAACUUUAGUUUUUCGGGUUCGCAGCGAGAGACCGGUCCCUGCUGGGGAGAGACCGGUCCCUCUAGGCGAAAACUGCCCAGUCCGGGUUGAUGUAAAUUUGAGUUUUUGAGGGGCCUCUCUGGAUUUUGUUGCUCUAAAUGGUCUAUAAGGCCAUUUCACUCUCUUCCCUCCUCAUUUCUCACCCUCUCCCUUCACCUUCUAGAGAGAGAAGAAGGAGAAGGAGGAGAAGAAGAAGAGAAGCUUGCUUGAGGGAGCUUGGAGCUCAACCCCUUUCUCUCAUUUCCACCCUUGCUUGGCUUGGAGCUUGCUUGUAGAGCUUGGUGGUGGGCCAAUCUUCAACCCUAGAAGAUUUGGAGCUUGUUUGGAGGCAUCUUGGGAGGUUAGUAUUAUGAUUCUAACCUUUGAUCCUUGUUUUGGUAGGUUUUACCUUAUGAAACCCUAAAAUGUGAACUUAGGGUUUAUUUUGGGCGUUUUGAAUCUAGGGCUUUUGGAGCUAGAUUGAUUGGUUUAGAACCUUCCAUUUGGUUGGAUUGGAAGGGUUCUAGCUCUCUUUUGGAGCUUUGGAAGAGAUUUCUUCUCUUGAGGUGAGUUUUAGCCCUUUUUGCUUCUAGGUUAAUGUUUGAUCUUAUAGUUGAUCGUAAUGCCGGUGUAUCUCUUCGCUCAAUACUUUUAGGGUAUUUUGAGACUCGUGGACAACUUCUUUCGGCGAAACGAAGGACACUGCGACGGUUCGGUGGGUUUGACCUAGCCACACAAUGGGAAAAUCCCAUUGUUGCUGUUUUAAAUGUCAUAAAAUGAAAAAGCAUCCAUAUUCUUGUUAUAUGUAUUUAUUGUGAAUUUUUGAAUGCUUAAAAUGUCCAUGUUACAUAUAGAAAAAUUUUGGACCUCUAUGUAGUAGAGAGCACGCAUGUGUGAGAUAGCAUUCUGGUUGAGAUUGAAACUAAGAUCCCUGUUAUGAAAAUGAACCUUGCCUUCAUGCGUUUAGCUUAUAGGCCAAUUGUAACAUUAGAGAUUUUUGGAAGCCUAGAGAGGCUUAAGGACUUAGACUAUUUGAGAGAUUGGGCCAAUGUCAUAAAGAGGCAUUGGGCCUGGGCUAAAGUGAACCUUGCUAUUAUCGUCUAAAUUGGAAUAUGGUACAUGUAUUGGGCAUGAUUAGUUAUGAUGCUUAAGUGUCAUAAAGAGGCACUAAGCAAGUGAGUGUUGGGAUAUCACUUUGUGACAUAGAGCUAGACCGUUGGGUUACUAGUAGCUACUACCAUGUUUAAGAUAUGAGGAUUGGACACUUGAGACUUGGACUAUGCUUGCUUGCCAUUUGUGCUCAUUCGCACAUGCUUGUGAGGGUCGCUCCCUACAAGCCGGCACUCCGGAGUUAGCCUAUGCGACUUAUGUUCGCUCGUGCGGUAUUGAGAGGCCUACGAGGUCGAGUGGGAUAGACACAUUCCAAGAGUAGGGAUGUUGGGCUACCACAGGCACUUAGGCGGCACAAGCUGGACUACCUUUGGUAAGUCCUUAAUUGGAAAUCAAAAUCGACACGGUGUUGAGAAUGAAUAAUCACUACUAGAUAGGCUUAGUAGUUGGAUUACUUGACAUGCUCAUGACAUAGCUUUGGGGCAUAUAGUAUACUGGGUCGCUUUGAUAGAGCUUACUCCUUAUGCAUUGACAUAUUGCAUCGUGAGGUUUACUUGUUCAUUAUGUUAUGGCAUAUUAGUAUGCAUUGGACAUACCAUCUUGUGAUAGUGUAGAUGUACAUUACCAUGACAUCAGGCUUACUUGAGACAUAGUAGUAUAGCAUUUCAUUUAUGCUUUCUUUCAGCAGUUCUUAUACUCGCUCUUUAUUGUUUGUUAUUAUUGUUGUUACUUACCCNUGCUCUCCAUCUGGUGGAUAGCUUAGCAGGAGCUUCCUUCGAUCGAGCUUCGUUGAGGGAAGAGCGCCAGGGAUCGGAGAGGGCCGCACCUUCCGAGACUUUUGUAGUUCUUUUGCUCCCGCACUCUUGAUAUUAAAUAUCAAGGGUCACCCGUUAAUGACUGGAGUCGAGUUACGUGGUGAUCCGGGGUUUUCUUUUCCCAUUCAUUGUUGUUAUUAUUGUUUGUUAUUUCUCGCUCAUAUUCUUGACGACUUUCUUUCGUAUUUACUUUACGAUAUGAUGAUACAGAGUUCAUUCGGACUACAGUACCAUUACAUGUAGAUGUGAUAGUGUUCUACCAUACAGGUUACGUAUGAUUAUACGGUAUUGUAUUACUUGUUCAUUUGGAGUGCUACGUUAUACAGUUACGUAUUCCUCAUUCGAGAUAGUUUCGCUGGGUCAUAUGAUAUACGGGGUUUCGAUACAGUACUCGUACAGUUCAUUAGGUUGAUGAUUCGGAUAGAUCAUCACUAAUAAGUAAGAGUUGUGGCACAGCUAAAACUAAAGGUUAAUUCCUGAAUGGUUUCCAUCAGGUCGAACACGGCGGAUUCACGGACACCAUCGGGUUGUAGGGAUGAGAACCUUACACAGAUAGGGUGAGCUGGAGCAUCCGGAGAGUUAUGGCGUGCUCGCUUGUAUUCAGCGUAUCCGAUUGAGGCCUCACGGCCGAACAUCCCUCGCUGGGAGUGUUCGUACACGCUUACUCGUGUUUACCGUUCGUUCGUAUCAGGUUCAGAGUUCUAUUUUAUUUGAGAGAGGUCGAGAGUUGUACCCGCUCAUGUAUAGAGACCACCAUUUUUGUACUAGAGACAGUUAUUGUACUACUUUAUGUCUUAUCUUUACUGUUUUGGUUAUGUAUCCUUUACUCUGGUUAUAGAUGUUAGAACUUUAUCCGCUUUGAUAUCAUUAGUUGUCUUUUACUCGGAUUGUUCUAUCUCUUAUUUUAUUUCCGCUGUUGUUGUAGACGCCUUAUAUGUGUAGACAUAUGGCGAGUCUGGGCAAGCUACCGGGAGGGCCUCCGCCGGUCCCGAGGCUUGACAGAUUAAUUUGGUAUCAGAGCCUAGGGUUGAGUCUUAGAGGACCUAGCAAACCUUAGGCCGGUUGGACUAUAGGAGAUAGGCCCGUGAGAGACGAAGUCUAACUGAAUUGUUAGCGAAAGUAUUUCGAUUGGGUUUAUGAUAACUCUAAAAAGUUAGAGUUCGAUCAGAGUGUAUGGCUUCUAACUUCGCGGAGGGUUAUGUUGGCGGCCGACAACGUAACAUCGGGAGUUAGUUGUGGAUAACACUUCCUUACUUUCGCGUGAUUACGGUUUUGUUAUUUGAGCGGGGAUUCGAUAGCGCGGGUUACUAACUUGCGCUUUUAUGUUCUGUAGUGACGAUGCCGAUUACACGCUCCCAGUCUGCCGGGGCAGAUGAUGCGGCACACCCUGAGGAGGUCGAGACCUUCGCUACUUCCGGAUCUAGUGAGGUCCGUGACGUGAGGACCCAGCUUGCGGCCCUCACUGAUCUGUUGGCGCAGCAGACGGCAGCGGCGCAGCGACAGGCUGAGGUGGCUCAGCGGCAGGAUGCGCGGAUGAAGCAUCUUGAGGACCUCCUACUUCAGCAGGCAGCAGCUUCGAGGGAGACCCAGGGUCCCGCACCGCCAGCACCGGUGGUGGACGUCGCACCGAGAGCGCAGUCCCCCGCGCUCAGUUCUUCACGUGCGGCACCGGCGACUACACCGCGGGAGGAGGUGGCUGCGGUACCUCCAGUUUGGAGACCGAUCACGGAGGCAGCUUUCCCCGUGAGGGCCGAGGGAGCCGAGCGGGAUCGGCUCAUGGAUCGCCUCAGUGAGUUCAGGAGGUGCAGCCCGAGGACGUUCGAUGGCGAGAACGUCGACACUGGAUUGUUGAGAAGUGGUUGAUGCAUAUGGAGAAGCUAUUUCGAGAUACCUUUGUGGAGGAGAGGGACAGAGUGUGGCUUGCCACACACUUCUUGGACGGCGAGGCCUACCGUUUGUGGUUGGAUAUUCUAGACAACCCCAACACCGAUUUGGCAGCGAUCACUUGGGCGAGAUUCAAGGAGAUGCUUCUGGCGCACUACUUCCCUACCAGCGCCAAGAGGAAGAUGGAGCAGGACUUGCGCAGCUUGAGCCAGGACGAGCGGUCAGUGGCCGAGUACGAGAGGGAGUUCUCCCGGCUACUUCAUUGUGUACCGUUUGUUGUGAGGGAUGAUGAGGACAAGGCCCGCAUUUUUGAGCGUGGAUUGCGGCCUUCUAUCUUUCGGUUGGUACAGUCCUCCAACCUCCAGACCUACCGGGAGGUUGUGGAUCGAGCACUGAUAGUGGAGGCAAAAGCGGCGGAUCUUCAGGAGCGUCGUGAGAGCUCGGAGAAAGGGAGGGGAAAGAGGCCCGCGGCUGAGGGUGCGAGUCAGAUUGUAAGGUACCAGACUUCUAAAAAUAUGAAGUUAUGGUGUACAUUUAAAUGGUUCCGGUGAGGUUGCGGUGUAAUGUAAUAUACCGGAUUUAAAUAUAAAAAUAAAAAAUAAAUAAAAAUAGUAUGAGAUACUGUUUUUAUUGGAUUUAGAGAAGUGAAAUAUAGGUUGGGAAUGACCUGUGCUAAAAUUGGAGCGAAAACAGAAGAUUUAGAAUUUUCUGUGAGAAACGGGACAGAUAAAUUAGCAGAAAAUGCACAGUCUCAGAAAAUUAUGAAAAUUGGAGGAUAAGUCAGAAAUAUUUUUAUGAGGCUAGGUUUAAAGUUUCAUAUUUUUCUAACACCCGUAGAGUGAGAAAUAAAAUCCGAUAGCUAUCUGAUAAAGAUUACAGUUCGGUGCAGCUUUCAGUGACCAAACGAGGUCGAAAUUGAAAACUUAAGAUAUAUUCUUACUCAGUACGUUGAACUGAGCCUGCCUGUCAAAUUUGAGCUCAAACGGACAUUCAGAAGGGCUCCAACUGCUCCGAACUGCUAAACUGAUAUAGUGGUGCAAGUGGUAGUAAAUGUGAGGGGGUUUCCUGCAAUUGUGGCAGCCCCAUAUGUGGUGCGGCUGCUUGGCCGAAGCAUCACACGCACACACACCUUCUCUUCUCCUUCUCUCCCUCACACUUGCAACCAUGGAGAGCUCUCUCUCUCUCUAGGAAUAAGAAGCCAAGAGAGAGGUUUGGUGAAGCUUGGAAGUGAAUCUUCAUCAUCUUCUUCCUCUUCUUCAAGCUUGGAGGAAUCUUGUGAGGUAAAGCACUAACCCUUUAAUGGUAGAAUGUUAGGGCUUCAAUUAUACGCUCUAGAAAUGGUUUUAGGCAAACCUUAGGAGGUUACUAGGAUGAUUCUAACAUGAAUCUAUGGUUCUAUUAGUGUGCUUUGCACUAAUUGCAACAUAGAGCUCCAAAAUAAGGGCUUUAAUGGUAGAUCUCUAAAGAUAGGUCCAAAUGCUUUGGAAAUGGUUUUAGUGGAACCCAUUGAUGCCUAAUAGAUGAUUAUUGCAUGAAUCUAAAGUUGUAGUAGAGUAUUCUUGCAAUAGUUGAAACCUAGGACUCAAAAUGGGAUUUUUAUAAAUUGUUGGGUUUGAUCUCUUUUAACCCGCUAUUUACCUAAUUGCUAGGUCUACGAACGCGUUGGAAGCGACGGUUCGGUGAUUCGUCGAGCCGGUGCAAAGUUAUUAAAGAAACGGACGUUUAGGCUUCGUUUCGGCCUGGAGGGCCGAGGCGACGUCGUAAAAUCCUGGAAACGGAUUUGGAGCAUCGUAACGAGAAACCGAAGACCUUUAAUUUUCGGAUUUCGGAUCGGAGGUCGUUCGGUGGUCGUGCGUGGUUUGGGUCGAGCCGAGCGGCGUGCGCCGCGGGAGGCCGAUUGCAAGUGACGACGAGCAAUCGGAACGCUGUGAAAGGUGGGGGGUGUCCAUCCCGAAGCAACUGAGCUUCUUCCUAUGUCUUAGUACUUUAUCAAUUUGUAUAAAGCAUAUUGUAUGUUGCUAUGCAUUAUAGGAUGACAAUACAUGCAUUCCUAAUCCUUAUAUGAUGUUUAUGAUCAAUAUAGUAUUAUGAUAUGGAUAUAUGAUGUAAUGGACAUAAGGAUUAUGAGAUGACAUUGGUAAACCUAUGAUGCUAAAUGAAAGAAGAACCUAGUGUUGUGUUUAAAGACAUAGUUUACAAGUGGCAUUGAACUCAUUGUGCUAAAAACACAUAUGACUUGAACUAGUAAUGGAUUGGUUGUUGUACUAGAAACUCUAGUUAACAUUGAUCAAGUUGCAUAUUGGGAUAUUGCAUUAUAGGGUACUAGUUGGCAAUUGUUACAUGUCAUGGCAUGCUAGUGGGAGUGUAGUGUUACUUGAUUAAUACUUGUACCUAGUAUGCAUGAGAUUGGGACUUAGUGUGGUGAAACCCUAUAAGGGCAUGAUUAAUGUGGAUUAAACUUUAGUUGAGUACAUUAAUCGAUCAAGUUGCAUAUUGUAUUUAUUGCAUAUAGGUGCUAGAUGAUUAUGGUUAUUGCUUAUAUUUGCAUGCUAGUAGCUAUACAUCUUGAUGAUUGAUCCAUGAUCUAGUAUGCAUGAGAACCUAGACCCUAUAUGUGAUGAUUAAUGUUUAUGUGAUUAAAGAACUAGUAUGACGAAACUAGUGUUAAAAAUGAGUCUAAAUGACGAGUGGCAUCUAGUUUAGAAAACUAUGACAAGUGGCAUCUAGUUAUAGAAAACUAUGAUGUGAGGCAUAUGAUUGUUGAUAACCUUGGCAUGAGAACAUUAGUGUAGUUGUGACACUAUGAGAUUGGGUACAAGAACACCUCGAUUCCAUGAUGAGAUUACCCUUAGAGGGUAGGUUGCUGAUGUUCGUGAGUUGAUCGUGCUCACAUAGCCUGUCUGCGCUUGGAGGGGUCGCUCCCCACAAGCUGUGCACUCCGGAGGUUGGUCACUAGAGGGACAGUCAGUGUGCUGUCUGGACGGUCUGUGUGCUGUCCGCAGGCGGUCUCGGGGAGUAGUUCAGUGAGACUUUCCCUAUGAGAUUUACACGUGAGAUAUGUUCGUGAACCCCGAGUUCACCAUGAGAUUUGGCUACCUAUUGAGUCAUACUCAUUAUUGUUGUUCAUGAUAGCUUGCUUCUAUAGUUGUUGUUGUUGUUCAUAGUAGCUUACUAGUGUGCAUAGUAGCUUACUUAUUGCUCAUGCAUUCAUGAUAUACUAUUCCUUCACCUAUGAGAUUUGAGUGGAGUAGCCCUGUACCUAGUAGGUCGAGAUGUGAGUCGGGCAAAGUGCGGGGUAGCCUUUGCCUAGGACUUUGAGAUGUGAGUCGGGCAAGGAGUGGGGUAGCUCUUUGCCUAGGACCUUCGAGAUUGAGUCAGACCUUGAGAUGUGAGUCGGGCAAGGAGCGGGGUAGCUCUUUGCCUAGGACCCUUGAAACAUGUGUGACAAGAGUGAGGUAUCCCUUCACCUACUAGAUUUGAGACCUUAGGCAAGUUAGCCUAGUGGAUUGUGUAAUGACAUGAACGGCACAAGCGAAUUUGCAAUCAUACUAUGUUUAGAUAUAGUACACUGCAUAGCUAUGUUGUAGUUGUAUUUACUUCAUUGUCAAAGCAUACUAGCAUGAUAAAUGAUGUGACAUGCAUUCCUUGCAUUUGAUGGCAUAGUAGAUAUAGUAGCAAUUUAUUUCCAUAUAUCUCUCUCUUCUAUCUAUCUGUGCCAGCUUGGACAUAGUGGGAAGAUCGGCGGAGUCGGCGGCCGAACCUACUGGGAACUAUAUUUAUAUAGUUCUCACCCCGUGUGAUUUUGGGGUACAGGUACAUACGAGAGCGGACCGGCAGAUGAUCGCGGCAAGGGCUUAGCGCCCUAGUGCUAGUUGAUAGUUUACUUUCCUAUUUUGCAUUAGAGUUACCCUAUACAUGUAUUGAGAGUAGAUGAUGUAUAGGGUGUGAGGUAUUUUGAGAUAAAUGUAAACUAAUGUUAUCUUUUGAAGAAUGUACGCUUAUAUUCAUAUUUUGGAAAAGAAUGCAAGGUGUAAUUAAAUGUAUCAAGUAGAAUGGUUGUAAUAGAAUAGUUAAGUAUCUCUCUUUUGUUUCACUCGUAUGUCUACUACUUGUGACGCUUGCUCUUGUAAUGUUCAGCACUGUUUGUGCUUUAGUUGUUGUAUGAUUGUGUAUGUAUUCAAGUAUUUUCCUGGGAACUUGUUGUACACAAUCUCGUCAUUUGAGCCUUGGGCGGACAGGGGAGACUCUGUCUGUUUGGCGGUCCGCUUGCCGCGCCCGAACCGUGCCAAAUCUGUAGCGGCCUCGGGGCGGGGGCGUGACACAGACGUACUCACGGAGGCCGCCGAGGCAUCCCAGGAGCAGGAGCCAGUCACGAGGACGGGGCCAGUCUACUCAGCGAGGAGGACCCGACCGUCGCCAGGCUCCCCGCUGCGUGAUCUGUGGUGGUCACCACUACCCGCGACAGUGUUCACGCAGCCGGGGCAGGUGUUUCUUGUGUGGCCAGGAGGGCCACUUUCAGUCGGACUGUCCGAGGAGUCCAUUGCCAGCGCCAUCUUCGGCAUCUGCACCAGCAUCGCCAGGUCCCAGUCAGGGGACAUCUUCUGCGCAUCACCAGGCAGGGCGGCCGCUAGUUCAGCGGCAGGUGGAGGGGUCACGACAGGCCCCGAGCUGGCGCAUGUAUGCGGCCCAGACUGAGGAAGCAGCGGCAGCCAAGAAUGUGGUCGCAGGUAUCAUUUUACUUUAUGGUAUUCGAGCUAGAGCUUUGUUUGAUACCGGUGCAUCGCAUUCAUUCAUAGACCGGCUGUUUGCCAAGUUGCAUGGCAUCCCACUUGCAUUCUUGUUGCAUCUGGGACGAGUUGUUGUGCCCGAUCAUUAUUUGGACAUUCGGGAGUUUUGUCCCAGUUGCCCCAUUCGAGUUGGAGAUUGGAUCAUGCCCGUGGACUUGCUAGCUUUGCAUAAACUCGGGGAGUUUGAUGUUGUGUUGGGGCAUGGAUUGGUUGACCAGGUACUUUGUCACCAUUGAUUGCAAGAAUCGAACGGUGACGUUUAGAGAGCCGGGGCAGGCGGAGGUCGUGUACCGAGGAUGCCAGAGUUCGCUUUUUGCGAUGACGAUUAGCUCUUCUCAAGCUCGACAGUUGAUUAGUAGAGGCUGCGUAGCCUAUUUGGCUACUGUGGUGUUGAGGGGUGAUGAUGAUGCCCCCAGGAUUGAGGACAUCCCCGUAGUACGGGAGUUUGGAGAUGUGUUCCCAGCUGAGCUUCCGGGCAUGCCACCUGAUAGGGAGAUUGAGUUUGUGGUAGAUCUCGUUCCCGGGACUACCCCGAUCUCAAAGGCACCUUAUAGGAUGGCACCAGCAGAAUUGAAGGAGCUGAAGGCACAGUUACAGGAUCUUUUGGACAAGGGCUUUGUGCGACCGAGUGUGUCACCUUGGGGAGCACCGGUCCUAUUUGUCAAGAAGAAUGAUGGAUCGCUUCGCUUGUGCGUGGACUAUCGUGAACUUAAUAAAGUCACGAUCAAGAACAAGUAUCCAUUACCGAGAAUUGAUGAUCUUUUUUAUCAGCUCCAGGGAUCUUGUGUGUAUUCCAAGAUUGACUUGCAGUCGGGAUACCACCAGUUGAGGAUCAGACCUGAGGAUGUGUCGAAGACGGCUUUUAGAACACGGCAUGGACAUUAUGAGUUUACUGUUAUGCCAUUUGGGCUUACUAAUGCCCCGGCAGCUUUUAUGGAUUUAAUGAACCGUGUUUUCAAGCCUUACUUAGACAGGUUUGUCGUGGUGUUCAUCGACGACAUUUUGGUCUAUUCCCGAAGUGAUGCGGAUCACGAGGAACACUUGAGACUUGUACUUCAAGUGUUUCGGGAAAAGAAGCUCUACGCCAAAUUGAAGAAGUGUGAAUUUUGGCUUAGAGAGGUGGCAUUUUUGGGCCAUUUGAUUUCAGGAUCAGGCAUAGCCGUGGACCCGAGAAAAAUUGAAGCUAUCAAGGAUUGGCUGAGGCCGACGAGUGUCACGGAGAUUCGGAGCUUCAUUGGUUUGGCCGGCUACUACCGACGGUUUGUUGAGGGAUUUGCAAAGUUAUCUACUCCCCUCACAAGGCUCACGCAUAAAGGAACGAAGUUUAUUUGGAAUGAUGCGUGUGAAAGGAGCUUCCAAGAGUUGAAGCGGAGAUUGACGACCGCCCCGAUCCUAACCUUGCCAACUGCUGGAGCAGGGUAUGUUUUAAUGCAGGACGGGAAAGUGAUCGCGUAUGCAUCUCGCCAAUUGAAGGAUUAAUCGACGGAAUUAUCUACUUCCACGACUUGGAGUUGGGGCCCCGUUUGAGUCUUUGCAUGAAGCUAUGGGCUAUUAUCUCUACGAAGUAUACACGGAUCACAAGAGCUUAAAGUACCUGUUUACUCAGAAGGAGUUGAACUUGAGGCAGUGCAGAUGGUUGGAGCUACUCAAGGAUUAUGAUUUGACGAUCCUUUACCACCCGGGCAAGGCUAACGUGGUGGCGGAUGCGCUAAGUAGGAAAUCGAUGGAAAACUUAGCGAUGCAUGUUGUGACUCAACCGCAGUUGAUCGAGCAGAUGAAGCGGUUGGAGUUGGAGAUAGUGACUCCUGAUACACCUUUGAGGUUGAUGACAUUGGUGGUGCAACCUACCUUGUUGGAUAGAAUUAAAGAAAAGCAAGCUUCCGAUGUGGAGUUGCAAAAGAUUCGAGGUAAAAUGGUUGAUGGUUGCACCGGCGACUUCCUAUUGGAUGAUCAAGGAUUGAUGCGUUUCCGUGGGCGGGUAUGUGUACCUACGGAUUCGGGGAUUAAAGGAGAUAUUCUUCAAGAAGCGCACCGGGCGCCCUAUGCUAUACAUCCGGGUGGCACCAAAAUGUAUAAGGAUUUAAAGUUGCUCUAUUGGUGGCCUGGGAUGAAAAAGGAUGUUGGCGAGUUUAUCGCUAGAUGCUUAACUUGCCAACAAGUAAAGGCUGAACACCGAGUUCCCGCGGGAAAACUUCAGAGUUUGCCUAUUCCUGUGUGGAAGUGGGAGAAAAUCACCAUGGACUUUGUGACAGGAUUGCCACGCUCUCAGGCGGGGCACGAUGCUAUUUGGGUGAUCGUGGACAGGUUGACGAAAUCAGCACAUUUCAUACCUAUCCACACUACUUGGACUGGUAAGAGGCUCGCACAGGUUUAUUUGGAUGAGAUCGUGCGAUUGCACGGGGUACCUACUUCUAUAGUAUCGGAUCGAAACCCCCGUUUUGUAUCCCACUUUUGGAGGAGCUUACAGGACGAUUUGCGUACGCGCUUGGAUUUCAGCACUACUUUCCACCCCCAGAGUGACGGGCAGUCGAAGCGUACUAUACAGACUCUCGAAGACAUGCUUCAAGCCUGCGUGAUUGACUUCCAGGGAGGAUGGUCGCAGCAUCUACCGAUGGCAGAGUUUGCUUAUAACAACAGUUAUCAAGCAAGCAUCAAGAUGGCACCGUUCGAGGCACUCUAUGGACGGAAAUGUAGAUCGCCACUUUAUUGGAGUGAAGUUGGCGAGAAAUUGGCUUUAGGCCCAGAUGUGCUCCAGGAAGCAGAAGACAAGGUUCGCAUUGCUCGGGAGCGACUGUUCACAGCCCAGAGUAGGCAGAAGAGUUAUGCUGAUUGGCGUCGACGAGACUGGGAGUUUCAGAUUGGAGAUCAUGUCUUCUUGAAAGUCUCGUCGACUCGAGGGAUUAGAAGGUUUGGAAUCCGGGGUAAGUUGAGCCCCUGAUAUAUUGGACCGUAUGAGGUUUUUGAGCGUGUAGGCCCGGUAGCGUAUAGACUUGCUCUACCGCCAAAUCUAUCGGGUGUACACAACGUCUUCCAUGUAUCGGUCCUACGGAAGUACAUCCACGACCCGGCUCAUGUUUUGGACACUACGCCUUUGGAGCUGAGGGAGGACUUGAGCUUUGAGGAGCAACCUUUGCGGAUUUUGGCUCGCGAAGUAAAGAGAUUGCGGAACCGUGAGAUCCCCUACGUGAAGGUGCUUUGGAGCAACCACGACGAGCGCGAGGCCACUUGGGAGCUGGAGAGCGCACUGAGGGAGCGCUAUCUUUUUCAGAUGGAGGCUUGAGGUACUUGUCAUUUCGAGUUUCGCAGACGAAACUCCUUUUUAGGAGGGGUGAAUGUAACGCACUGAACCUUUGCAAAUUGCGAGGUUCAAGUGAUUGGAUGUGUUUCGAGCUUUUCCACACUUGGUGGAGAGUCGUAGAAUGUUUUUCGAUCCAAAAAGUUCGAAAAUCUGAGUUCUGGACGAGUCCUGAGAGUUUUUACUCUCGGGGACCGGUCCUUGAAAGGAGAGACCGGUCCCCCAGUGAACAGUGUUGCGCAGCCGGCGAGGCAACCGGUCCCUAGCGGGCGAGACCGGUCCCCGAGCGCGUCUUCGCUGUGAGAGACCGGUCCGGCGCAGGGAGAGACCGGUUCCCGAACGUUGGUUUUUCGGGUUCGCAGCGAGAGACCGGUCCCUGCUGGGGAGAGACCGGUCGCUCUGGGCGAAAACUGCCCAGUCCGGACUGAUGUAAAUUUGAGUUUUUGAGGGGCCUCUCUGGAUUUUGUUGCUCUAAAUGGUCUAUAAGGCCAUUUCACUCUCUUCCCUCCUCAUUUCUCACCCUCUCCCUACACCUUCUAGAGAGAGAAGAAGGAGAAGGAGGAGAAGAAGAAGAGGAGCUUGCUUGAGGGAGCUUGGAGCUCAACCCCUUUCUCUCCUUUCCACCCUUGCUUGGCUUGGAGCUUGCUUGUAGAGCUUGGUGGUGGGCCAAUCUUCAACCCUAGAAGAUUUGGAGCUUGUUUGGAGGCAUCUUGGGAGGUUAGUAUUAUGAUUCUAACCUUUAAUCCUUGUUUUGGUAGGUUUUACCUUAUAAAACCCUAGAAUGUGAACUUAGGGUUUAUUUUGGGCGUUUUGAAUCUAGGGCUUUUGGUGCUAGAUUGAUUGGUUUAGAACCUUCCAUUUCGUUGGAUUGGAAGGGUUCUAGCUCUCUUUUGGAGCUUUGGAAGAGAUUUCUUCUCUUGAGGUGAGUUUUGGCCCUUUUUACUUUCUAGGUUAAUGUUUGAUCUUAAUGAGGUUGCAUCGUAAUGCCGCGGGGGAUAUCUCUUCGUUCAAACUCUUUAGGGUAUUUUGCAGACGUGUGGACAACUGUCUUUCGGGGCUUAAACGAAAGGACCCGCCGAUGGUUUCGGGGUGGCGUUGGACCAGGGGCGCACACAAUGGGAAGCAAUCCCGAUUGUUGCUGUUUUAAAUGUCGUAAAAUAAAAAGCAUGCCAUAUUCGGUUGUUAUAUGUAUUAUUGUGAAUUUUGAAAUGCUUAAAAUUGUCCUUCUUAAACAUAUAGAAAAAUUUUUGCGGACCUCUAUGUACUAGGAGCACGCACUGUGUGAGGAUAGCAUUACUGUUGCGAUUGCAAACUAAGGCAUCACCUGCUUGAAAAUGCAACCUUCCUUCAUGCCGUUGUUAGCUUAUAAGCGCCAAUUGUGAUCAUUAGGGGGUUUUUGGAAGCCGUUAGGGGAGAGGCUUUAAGGACUGAUAAACUAUCUGACAAAGAUUGCCGGGCCAAUUCAUAAAGGAGGCAUUGCGGCCGGGCUAAACGUGAAACCUUUACGUGGAUUAUGUCUUUAAAUUGGAGAUGAGUGGGUACAGUGUUGGGCAUGCACUUAGUGUGUGGGAGUGCGAGAGUGAGUGAAAGCAGGCCAGCUAAGCAAGUGAGUGUUUGGUGUUCACGCCGCCGCGGACUGGUGGAGGCGGCGCGCCCGGGGUAGCGUGCCCAGGACCCCGGGGGGCGGCGAGUGAGUGUACACGAUAUGAGAGGUCUAAACAGACAAACGGAAAUUAAAGCAAGAGGUGAGAGCGCAUCCGGUAAAAGACAAAAAAAAAAGGUCUACAUAUAAUGCGAGAGAGAGUGAGAGAGUUCGUAGACAUCUGAUAACAGAGUAGAGAGAGAGCGCUAACCAGAAAUGGUGAGAAGUAAGUGUGCAAUGAAGAGUGGAGCGUGACAAUAACUGCGUCUGGUGGAGUUUACAAAAGUGAUCGGUCGGGUGGCGGUAUACAUGCUGCGGGUAAAACUCUUGACCUCUUCUCAAAAUAACAAUUAACGAGGAGUGUAGACCAGCGGGGGUUCCCUAAUCGAGAUGGUAUACCACCUAUCGAUCUCUAUAUAAUAUAGCCAACAUCUCUCCCGCCUUCCGCCCACGUGAGGGUCCCUAGCCUUGUUCCCCAAACGCGCUGGUCGGAGGCUCUGAACAACGAGUCAAAGAAACGUUCGGAUAGUUAAUUGAGAGAUGGAUAUUAUGGAGAGCAGCGUGAGAACUAUAAAAAUUUUAUAGUUCCCAGUGGGCAAUUACUGACACUCAGCUCAAUGCACCACUUUUAGGGCCCCCAAAAAGAAAAGCGUCCCAGUAACGACAAUUAAUAACAAACAAUUAAAGGAGUGGCGGUAGUUUGAAAGACUACUAAUCUAUCUAUGCCAUCAUAAUGCAAAGGAAAAUGCAGGGUGAAUCAACCGUCAGUAUACUAAGAAUCUGCCUAAAAAAUACUAUAUUAAAAUAUCGCUGUAGACUACUGGUCACGCCCCGAGGCCCGCCUCUUUGGCCGGCAUUCGGAGUCGACCGUAUAUACCGUAUGCUUUGACCAAAAAUGAGCGACAAGGGUUUCCCGUUAAUGUAUGACCUGACAGCGGACACAGCAGUCUCCCCUCAAACAGAGGCGCCGUCGCAAUCGUAAAAUUAUAUGUAUCAAUGUUUACGAAUUUGUCCAACCGGAGAAACAGCAUGUGUGUCAACAAAGAUUGCGAGUAAGGGAAGUAUCAAAAACUAUAAUCUACCUUGCUAUUACAAGCAUUCACAUUUCAUACAUUUGUUACAUCACAAUUCUCAUGUGAUUCUUACAUUAGCUUUCACUUCUAACUUCCAGGAACUACAAUCCGAUUUUAACAUUAGUUAUUACAACAUGGUGUUUUACAAGUUAUCACGAGUUUGGGUUGGUUCUUUACCGCAUUUUAGAUACCCCUAAGAACGACUCAGGUGCUGCUACUGGUCUCAGUGGGUAGGGCGCUAACUUACGGAGCUACGCCUUUCCUCGCCGCCGUCCCGCCCGGCUCGCUUUCGCUGACCUGCCUAAAACCCCCCGAAACAACGGUGGGGCUGGAGGCAACUAGAUUCCAUAUGUUCCCCAGUGGUUACGGGCCACCCAAGGAAAAGGCUCGACCAGUCAGUCAAAGGAGCAGAGGAGCAACAUCGUUAGUCCAAGUAGACGUAAUAUGGAAGAUCAUAAUCAUGCAACUAACAUUACCGAGCGGGCCUCAGCAGCGAGGAUAAUUUGCACAUGCAAACUGCCUUUGUAUCUUAAGAUAAAUGCCCUUCUUACUCAUUUUAUUUAUUAUCUCCAUUCUAUGAAAGUUUACUUUCUAAUAGUAGUCUUAUUAUGGAUUGCAUAAUUUACUCGCUGUGUGAUGCCUGUUCUUACUCGGUCGCUUAACCUUUUCUUACACUAAAUUGCUUUCCGACGGUAUAUAUUAUGGUUUCUUUGCGGCUUAACGUUGAGCACAUCUAGCACCUGGGUUCUUUCUUCUUUCGAAUUCAAUAUUUAUUCUCUAAUUGCAUAUUAUAGGAUUAGUUGUAAAGAGGCUACUCGUACACCCCUUAGUAACUUAUUAUUACUGACAUUAGCCUUUCUUUCUAAGCGUUACUUUACCUUAGCCAACUUUGCCCAUCCGACUCGGGGCGGUCAUUUAGCAGCUUCCCACUCUAUAUCAUGCAUCUCACAGCCAGUUGCGUAUUCAUAAGUCCGCGCUGCUGCCGGCUUCUCGCGAUGGCUGAACGAAUCAGGCCCAAAGAGACGACCUGAACCUCAGCCUUCCCUCAAUCACAAUAACCACAUCUCCCAGAUGCCGGGCUUCGCCCAGCGCGUGCCGAUCACAAUCACAUCUCAAGAUGGGUGCGAGGCGCGCGGGUGUGGUGCGAUGGAUGUGGGACCAUGCCCCGUCCAUUUAAUCCAUCCGCGAAGCAGGCGUUGCCAUUCUCUAGGCAAAGAGUCUACCCCGAUAUUUUGGGCACGAGGACAUAUCUCCCAUGCUCCACAUGCCACCCUGCCGCGUCACCUGUAUUUCCCUUGCGACUCAUACACACAUCUAUCUCUCCUCCGGAAUGAGGGAUCCGACACACGUACCCGCGGCCAUUAAGGCGGGCCAAACUAACUACGAUGCCCCGCCCACUUUGCUUCUGCCAGCCGCUCUCGCCCUGAGCAUGAGCUCAGGUAGCGCAUCUCAGUGGCUAACUCGAACUUCACAUUCACUCGAGGGUUGGUCUCACCCUGUCUGUACUAAGUUAAUACUCUGACUUAUCUACGGUCCCAAGCCUCGGGUUACUGUUGGCUACCGCUAUAUGCCGCUUAAAACUACUUUAAUGCCCCAUCUCUCAAUAGAUUUCUAUUCUUCUCUAGGGCUCUCUCCGUAAGCUGUUUAGUUGUGACACUAAGUUCAACAUUCUAAUGACACGGUAGUGAGGAAUAGUAUUAUCAUAGGGAUGAAUGCGUAUGCAGCCCAAUAGAGUCAUUGAUACGUCCCUGAGAGUUCUUAUAUCAUGUACAUUUACAAUCCUCAUUAUCUUUGUAUUUCCACUAACUAGUAAGCCUUACUUGGAUGUAUCCAAAUUGCCAACAAGUUCUUGAUCAUAUGUCUAUAGUUGUCACACACCUAGAAUCAUAUUAUAUACCAGCGUCCAAGCUGAUCUGAAUAACCUAUGUGCAUCGACACCUAGGUUAAUUCUAUUGUAUCAACAACCGUAUUUCUGACACAUAUAAUAAUGUGUCUUAUGAUGUCCACUCAUGGAAUCUAUAGUCAUAUUCAAUGUACAACUUACACAAUAUCCUAGGUAUGUACUUAGCAUUCCCUCAUACUGUAUCAUUAUGCAUGCUAUUACUUACUCUUUCAUGUCAUUUUAAAUCUAUGAUUCUCACACAUACGGUGAUCACGUCAUACAUUAACUCAUAUGUUUACGAGAGCGUACAUGCUCAACAUGCCUGUUAACAUCUUUACCAUACAUCUCAUCGAAAACAAUUUCUAAUAUAACAUGAUCCCAAGUAUCUAACCGGUAGUAUUCUUGUAACCAUAUAUUCACUAUCAAUUUAAGGCUAUAAGCAGAUUCCUCCACUAUGUAUUAAAUAGACAACAUUAUUCCCCCCAUACGAUCGAGACCGCUCUUAGCGUAGCAACUUCAAGUACACUAGGCACCAGAACCGUCCAGACAUGAACUCCAUACUUACCUAACAUGACUGUCCCUCCUAAGGUGACAUCCCUUAUCUUAGCAUCCUCCUGAGCAUGGCAUUGUAUACACUUUAUUAGCAGUCCCCCCCCCCCCCCCUUAUGUGCAUGCUUAUAACAUUCUUAUUAUGCAUUCUUUACUUAUUCUAUAUCAUCAAUAGUGAAAACACACGUACACUUUUUGGCCAUGAAGCGACCUAGUCGCUUCCGGUAAGCACAAACCCACCUUUUAACGCUUAUUCCGGAUGCUAUAUGCUCUGCGUCAACUUGCAAUCGGCCCUCCCCGGCAUCCGAGACCCGUUCGGCGUCGAAUCUUGCUGCGAUCUCAGUUGGGGGAGCGACCCCUCCAAGCGCAGACAGCCCCUAUGUGAGCACGAUCAACUCCGAACUACGAACCACAUCCGAACCUGCGAAAUCCGUCUUUUCGGAGUUUAUUCCCGACAUCGCGAUUAGCUCCCGAUUCCCAUUUUCGCAUUGAGUUACCCAUUGAACUAUAGGAGGGGGGCGGUCAAUUCAUCAUGGAAUCGAAUCCCGCGUGCUGCGCGUAUCUGUUACCAAAAGCAUGAUGUUUCGUCAAGGAUGCUCUUGUCUUUCGGCUCUGUCGGUAAUCUCCGUCAGAUACCUCAGUGAGGCAGUGUCAACAACACGCUAGGGGUCGCUUUUAUACCACCCAAUUACUAGAUUGUUUCUGUUAUGGCCAAUAGGGGUGUGUUUCAAUGAUACAUCAAACUCAACAAUAUUCUAUAUGCCUUCACAUCAUUACAAGUAAAUCUCUCUUAUGGAGCUAACCUUAGAUGUUAUGCAACUAUCUAUUUCGCAAAAUGUUCCAGUCUAUCUACGUAUGUAAAUCAAUUAUUCAAACUCCACUAGAGUUCCACUGUCUACAUUUAUUAGGUCUUAAGAGAAUCCCUACUAUAGAUUUUAUAUAAUCNNNNNNNNNNNNNNNNNNNNNNNNNACAAUAUGUGAGCGGUAUUAGAGAGGGAUAUUUCCUUCUCUCACUCACUCCCUCAGCCUCUUUCUCUCUCUCCCUCUCUCUGAUCGUGCGAAGCAGGGAAAGAAGGAAAAAGGGAGAAAGAAAGGAGAGAAAGGAAAAGAGAGGAAGAAAAAGAAGGAGAAGAUGGGGAGAUGCAGGAGAUCGUCGCCAUCGUCAUCCUCUUCGUCUUCUUCUUCUCCUUGGAGCUCUUGGAGAGGUGAGUUUCAUGGCUUCUCAUGGUGAUUUCUUUGAGAUGGUUCUAAAAACCCUAGAAAUGGAUUUAGUUGUACCCUAGCAUGCUAUUUAGAUUAUUUCACCCCAAAUCAUAGAUCGAUUUGGUGGAUUUGGCAAUAAUGGCAUCUAGGGCAUCAAAGAGGGGUUUUUGUUAAUAGAUGAGAUUGAUCUCAUUUGACCCCUUGUUAACCUAAUUGGUAGGUAACGAAACACGUUGGCGAAGUCGGUUCGGCGAUCCGACGAGUCGUCGCGAAGGUGUUGAAGAAACGGGCGCUCGGAGCUUCAUUUCCGCCUGGGAGGCCGAGGCAACGUCCAUAAAUCGUGAAAUCGGGUCCCGAGCACCGUAGCGGCAAGGCGAAGGUCACUGACACUCGAAACAGCGAAGCGGCGCGCUCUUGGGGGAGCCACUGUAAGAUCGGGCCCAAGCGGGUGCUGAGUGCCGCGGGAGGCCGAUUGCAAGUGUCGACGAGCAAUCGGAAAGCUAUCUAAGGUGGGUUGUGCUUACCGAAGCGACUAGGUCGCCCUU
rnacentral:lncRNA from 1 species